GGGUAUUGUCAGUCAUCUUUGGUUUCUGAUUUCUUGUGAGAGAUUUGGAAGAAUUCAAAUAAAUCGAAAGCUCAAAUGCUUGAAAAAUGAAAACUCUUGGUAGUAAAGGAAUGCCAUAGCAGCCAUGAUUUAUACUGGUUUAAACCAGUCCGUCGCUGGACAUGUACUAUUCCACGUGUCAAGCUACGAUUGCUCGGAAUAAUAUCUGUUUUGAGGUUGAGAUUAUGGGGGCCUUUCACCAGGGGGGUUGUGAAUAAUUAAUGUGCUAAUUUUCUUUGUUUGUUAAAAAAAUAAUAAAAAGUUCUUUCGGUUAUUUCUUAACAGAUUCAAUUAAGAAAGGAUCAUGAUUGAGGGAUCCAAAAUCUUGAGCCCAAGACACCAAAGUUACAUACAUACAAUAUUGUCCAAAUCUUAUGACAUGAUUGAGAAAAAACAUAUUAUAUACAUACAAUAUUGUCCAAAUCUUAUGACAUGAUUGAGAAAAAGCAUGAUUAGUAAUUUAAAUAUUACAUCUUGUAAUCAUGAUAAAAAAAAAAUUAUAUAUAUAGAUUCUAGCAUGCAUGUUCAAAUUGAAUAUAUAUUAAACUUAUAAUUGAUAUCUAAAUAAAAUUCUAGUAUGUAUAGUAAUCAUAUAAUAUAUCUUUAUAAAAACCAAACUUAAGCUCUAAAGUAUAGAAAAAAAAAGUCAAAAAACGAGUCUUUUUAUGAUCUUUGUUUGUUUGCCAAAAUGUUUUUUUUUUUUUUUAACACAUUCAUAGGUUGUUAACCACUUUUAUGUGGUAUAAUUAAACUAAUAAUUUUUAUAAAUUUUUUUAUUUGUAACAUAAACAUAUAAAAAUUAUAAAAUAAACAAAAAAAUAUUAAUAUUUUUUCAAGUCUUUUAAAAAUGGAUAAAAAACCGUUGUUCCAAACUCGACACCAAACACACACAGACACUUGCUCUAAAAUGUAAAUCCCAAUUAGGUUACAAAGAAAGCUUGGUUUGAUCAUCUUAGGUGUGAAAUCUAUUGAAGAUCAAUCCAGAAUUUUCUCACCGCCUACCAUCUUCGGAUCAUGUAGAAAUAUCUAUCCAUAACUCCAGCAGAAAAUAUCUUAGCUACAUGUGGCUGGUGUUGUGUUUAGUAUUACGUUUUAGAAGUAUUUAAAAAAAUAAUAAAAUAUUUUUUAUUUUAAAUUAAUAUUUUUCAGAUUAUUUUUUAUAUACUGAUAUUAAAAUAAUUUUUUAAAAAUAAAAUAAAAAUUAUUUUAAUAUAUUUUAAAAUAAAAAACAUUUUAAAAAAACUACCAUACACCCAAAGACACGUGACAUAUGAUGUAUGCUGGAAAUUUCUCCUACCGACAUAGCAUAGCCACGUGUGGGUGUGUGUGUGGUUCCUUCAUUUUGUGUGGUGGGCAACGAGUGAGAAGAUAGAUGAAUAAGUGAAAGAGUGUCAGAAAAAAGAGAGAUAAUAAUGAAGAGAGUAUUCAGUGUGUGUCGCGUGAGCUUUUGGAAACGCGUUAUCUCGCUUUUUCAAAAAACUUUUAAAUUCUUUUUAUUAAAAUUUAAUUUUUUAUAUAUUUUUUUAAAUAAUUUUAAUAUAUAAAUUUCAAAAAUAAUUUUUAAAAAAUAAAAAAAUAUAUUAUUUUAAUAUAAAAAAUCCUUUAAAAAAUAAUUAUAACUAAAAUGACAAUCACCCAGUUAAAAGACGUAUAAAUUAGUUAGCUUCAAAGUCGUUGCUCAAAAUUCAUGUUCAACAAAGUCUUUUUAUUUUUAUAACAAAAAUUUUCAAAACAUUUAUCGAAAAAGCAAUGUAAAAAAUAAAAAACAUUAAUGGUUAUGGAUAAAGAAAAAAACCAAUGAAUAAUUAAUAUAAAACUUCAUUUUUUUUAAGAUUUGUUUUAUCACUUUCUUUCAAUAUUUUUUUAAUUAUAUAUAAAAUACCGAGAUUUUGAGAUUUUGUUUGAAUGUUAGAAUUAAGAUUUGCUUUUAAGGCCUGGAAAAUAUUGAUUGCAAUUUAUAAAAUAUUCUGAUAUUAGGUUAAUAAAUGAUUUUACAAUUGUUUUUUAUUGUAUUAUUAAAUAAAAUAUAAUUUUAAAAAAUAUAAAUUCUAGUUAAAAGAGUUUUUAAAUUUAAUUUACUGGAUCGGAUUUAAUAAUAAUCUAAAAAAACAUAAGUUUAAUUUUGAAAAUUUUAUUUCAAAGUAUUUUUUUUUCUUUAUUAUAAUUCCUACACUACCCUAAAAGCUCAUUUAAAAACUUAGGCUGCCUUUUCUUUCAUAGAAACAAUUUGCAGUAUAUUUGACAUCUAAUAUACUUUUCACUUAUAACUUAGGCUGCCUUUUCUUUCAUAGAAACAAUUUGCAGUAUAUUUGACAUCUAAUAUACUUUUUCACUUAUAAGAUAGUUUUUAGCUUUUAAUGUAAAAUGAGAUAUAUUAAUUAGGUGUUUGUAUUUUUCCUCUUUUUGUUUACUUCAGCUAAUUUUGUUUCUUCAUAAUAAUAGCAAUGGAUUAAGAUUAAUUAAGAGUGAUGAUCUAAGUGGAGCAAUGUUAUGGAAUUCUAAGCUGCUCUUGAACUCACACUUCAGGGACUUUAGACUUAGUCAGAUUCAUAAACACCAAAUAUUCAAGGAGUGAAUUAAUAGCAAAGUAUAGAUAUAUAGGGCCAUCUGGACAUGCAGGAUGCCAUGAAGAUGAAGGAAUGUUGUGCUCUCAUAAACCGAGACAAAAGAUCUUUAAACAAGUACGUACGAAACUGAAGUAAAAUUUCACUAAUUAGGGCAAAAUCUGCCUGCAAACAUCGAUCACGAGAGAGCUACAGAGAGAGCUCUCUUCUUUAUACGAAAGGAAAUGGCAGAAACAAAACAAGAGAUGAACAUAGCAUUUAAUUUCUAAAUUGCUAUAGACAAUUAUUGGACUGCUCCAUUCAGCUACUUCAUUUGUUCAUGCCAGUUGCAUUCUUCACUCCUUCAACAGCUGCCUGUGCCGUAGACAUCACCUGUUGACCAGCCUAAACCAAGAACAGGUAUCAUAAGUAUAUUAUACAUUUGUCCAUUGUAUUCUUGAGCACAAGCUACUGUAGUGGUGAGGAUGAAUUCUCUCAAAAAUAAAACACAGAAAAUGAGAUUGAAGGAAAGUAUUUGAAUACCCCUUGCACUGAUUCCUUUGCAUAUUGAGCAGCAUUACCAGCUUUGUCCAUCAUGGUAGGACUGGUCUUCUCCUGAAACAAACAAAAUCCAUGCCUUAUCACGUAUUGGAAGAGAAAUAUCAUUGUGUUCUUGAGCACAAGCAAGUGUAGAGGUGAGGAUGAAUUCUCUUAAAAAAAACAUAUAUAGACAUGAGAUUGAAGGAGAGUAUUGAAUACCCCUGUCACUGAUUGCUUUGCAGAUUGAGCAGCAUUACCAGCUUUGUCCACCAAGUUACUGGCCUUCUCCUGAAACAAACAAAAUCCAUGCCUUCAUGUAUUAGAAGAGCAAAAUCAAGCAGAUUCAUAAAUAAAAAGGAAGAAAUAAACAAAUUCACAGGCUGACCUGAGUUUGGCCCUUGGCCUCACCAGCUUGGAAGCUCAUCUUCUGGGUAUUGUCAGUCAUCUUUGGUUUCUGAUUUCUUAUAAAAGAUUUGGAAGAACUCAAAUAAAUCGAAAGCUCAAAUGCUUGAAAAAUGAGAACUCUUGGUAGUAGAGGAAUGCCAUAGCAGCCAUGAUUUAUACUGGUUUAAACCAGUCCAUCGCUGGACACGUACUAUGCCUCGUGUCAAGCUACAGAUUGCUUGGAAUAAUAUCUGUUUUGAGGUUGAGAUUAUGGGGGCCUUUGACCAGGGGGGUUGUGAAUAAUUAAUGUGCUAAUUUUCUUUGUUUGUUAAAAAAAUAAUAAAAAAUUCUUUCUGUUAUUUUUUAACAGAUUCAAUUGAGAAAGAAUCAUGAUUGAGGGAUCCAAAAUCUUGAGCCCAAGACACCAACACUUUAUACAUACAAUGGUGUCCAAAUCUUAGGACAUGAUUGAGAAAAAACAUGUUUAGUUUAUAAUUUAAAUAUUACAUCUUGUAAUCAUGAUAAAAAAAAAAAUUAUAUAUAUAUAUAUAUAGAUUAUAGCAUGCAUGCCCAAAUUGAAUAUAUAUUAAACUUAUAAUUUAUAUCUAAAUAAAAUUCUAGUACUUAUAUUAAUCAUAUAAUCUAUCUUUAUAAAAACCUAACCUAAGCUGUAAAGUAUAAAAAAAAUUUCGAAAAAGAGUCUUUUUUAACACAUUCAUAGAUUGUUAACAACUUUUAUGUGGUAUAAUUAAAGUAAUAAUUGUUUAAAGUUUUUUUUAUUUAUAACAUCAACACAUAAAAAUAAAAAAAUAUUAAUUUAAUAUUUUUUCAAGUUAAAUAUAUUUUUAAAAUAAAUAAAAAACUGUUGUUCCAAACUCGACACCAAACACACACAGACACUUGCUUUAACUAAGAACUGAUAUUGUUUGUCAAUGUAUUAUUUAAAAUGUAAAUCCCAUUUAGGUUACAAAGAAAGUUUGGUUUGAUCAUCUUAGGUGUGAAAUCUAUUGAAAGAUCAAUCCAGAAUUUUCUCACGGCCUACCAUCUUUGGAUCAUGUAGAAAUAUCUAGCCAUAACUCCCCCAGAAAAUAUCUUACCUCCAGGUGGCUGGGGUGUCUAGCAUUGCAUUUUAGAAAUAUUUUUAAGAAAAUUUAAAGUUAUUUUAUUUUAAAUUAAUUUUUUUAUUAUUUUUACAUUACUUUUAUAUAUUGAUAUCAAAAUAAUUUUAAUAUAUUUUAAAAUAAAAAACAUUUUAAAAAAACAGCCAUACACCAAAAGACACGUGACAUAUGAUGUUAGCCGGAAAUUUCUCCUACCGACAUAGCAUAGCCAUGUGUGGGUGUGGGUGUGUGUGUGGUUCCUUCAUUUUGUGUGGUGGGCAACGAGUGAGAAGAAAGAUGAAUAAGUGAAAGAGUGUGUCAGUAAAAAGAGAGAUAAUUAUGAAGAGAGUGUUCAGUGUGUGUCGCGUGACCGUAUGGAAACGCGUUACAUCCCGUUUUCAAAAAAUUUAAAAUUUUUUAUUAAAAUUUAAUAUUUUUUAUAUGUAAUUUCAAAAAUAAUUUUAAAAAAAUAAAAAUAUAUUAUUUUAAUAUAUUUUAAAAUAAAAAAUAUUUUAAAAACUAACUAUAAUCAUACUCAUAAACUUCAAAGUCGUUGCUAUUCAAAGUCGUUGCUCAAAAUUCAUGUUCAACAAAGUCUUUUUAUUUUUCUAGCUAAAAUUUUCAAAAACAUUUAUCGAAAAAACAAUGUAAAAAAAAAAAAACAUUAAUGGGUAUGGAUAGACAAGUGAGAAAAAAUAUGCCUUAUAUGAAGAAAAAAAAUUAAAACUUCAUUUUUUUAAGAUUUGUUUAUCACUUUCUUUCAAUAUUUUUUUAAUUAUAUACAAAAUACCGAGGUUUUAUUUGAAUGUUUGAGUUAAGAUUUCUUUUAAGGCCAUAAUAGAUUUUAGUUUGGAAAACAUUGAUUGCAAUUUAUAAAAUAUUUUGAUAUUAGAUUGAUUUUACAAUUGUUUUUUAUUGUAUUAUUAAAUAAAAUAUAAUUUUAGAAAAUGUAAAUUCUGGUUAAGAGUUUUUAAAUUUAAUUUACUGGAUUGGAUUUAAUAAUAAUAUAAAAAAAACAUAAGUUUAAUUUUGGAAAUUUUCUUUCAAAGUAUUUUUUUUUCUUUAUUAUAAUUCCUACACUACCCUAAACGUUCAUUUAAAAAUUUAUGCUGCCUUUUCUUUCAUAGAAACAAUUUGCAGUAUAUUUGACAUCCAAUACACUUUCCACUUAUACGAUAGUUUUUAGCUUUUAAUGUAAAAUGAGAUAUUUUUUAAGAAAAAAAAUUAAAAAUUUUAUAUUAUAUGGUGGAUUUAUUCUCAUUUUAUAGUUUGUUAAUUAAUCCACUCUAUAAUCUACUUUUAUUACUUAUAUAUAGAAACAAAAGGAGCUAAAAGUGGAAAAUAUUCCUUUUCAUAAUUAUCAUAUCCUAAUCUCCCCUUUUUUAAUCAUUACUUAUCACCAAAUUUAAUUUCUUCAACAUUUUAUUGCUCGUUCUAAAUUGUUUUGUUGUUUUUUUUAUUUUGUACUUAUAUUAUUCACCAAUAAAACAUUUAUUUCAAAAAAUAUAUAUAAUAAAGAAGUUUACAUUUUUAAAACCUUGAUUUUUAUAUAUUUUUUUAAUUUUAAUUAACUUUGAACAAGAAAAAGUAGAAACUAAUAUUUAAUUAAAAUUUCGUAUUGUUAGAAUAAGAUACUCUAUGAAAAUAUUAAAUAUAAGGGAUAAUGUGGUCUAUUAAUGGCACAAAAGUGUCAUCUACUGGUCUUAAAUGGAGUUGAGUGACUUGAAUUUGAGUUAGAAUAACAAAUGAAGGAUGUUUGGAGGUUGUUUGCUAUUAGUCUAUGGUCAAUUUUGAAUUCUAUUUUUUUAUUACAAGAAAAAAUGAGCAUAUCCUACCUGUUUUUCAAGUUCAGAAUAUAAUAUUUAAAGAUUAUCUAGCCAUGGAUAAAUUAAAGUUUUCUAUAAAAAAUUACGUCAGUUUUAAUUAUAGUGCUUUUUAGAUAUUUAUUUGCAUUUUAUAGAGUAAAAAACAAGUUAUUGGUAUUCAUAGUCUAGAAUUCAGCUAAAUUCAAUUAUUAUGUCUCAUUUAUGUUAUUUUGCUUUUUUCUAAAUUAUUGGAAUAAUUUAUUUAUUGUUAUUGAAAUAAGAGUUCUUUUAGUUGAUACUAGUUACAUGCCCCGCGCGAUGCCGCGGGUCAAUUAUUUUUUGAAUUUCAAAAAUAGUUAAGAUCUAAAAGUGUUAGGUUUUUUUGUAAAGUUAUACCCAAGAGUCUCAGUUUUGGUUGCAUCGUCUAAUCAAAGAGUAAUGUUUAUAAUAUUAAUAAUAACAUUAAACUUGGGUUAACCCUUAGCAUAAAAGUGUCUGGACUACAAUACCAGAUCCAAUAGCAUUGAACGCGGGUCUGGCUGCAAGGUCGUGUCAUAAAAGUGUGAUAAUUAAAUAGAUUAGUUAAAAAAAACCAACAGAAAAAAAAAACUAAUUAGAAAAAAGAAAAAAAAUAUGAAUUAAUUGGGUUAACCCUUCAAACCAGGUUAACCCGUCAUACCUUGAAUUUACAUAAUAAAAGUUUGAUAAUUAAAAGAAAAAAACAAAUUAAUGGGUUAACCCAGAAUUAACUAGGCUAAAUCGUCAAACCAGAUUAACCUGUCAAACCCAGAAUCCGUGUAAUGAAAGUUUGAUAACUAAAUAGAAAAAAAUUAACAUUAACAAUUUAAAUUAAAUGAAAAAAAUUCAUUUAAAAAAAAAAAACAAAAAGCAUCAGCCUUUUCACAGUGAACUGCACUGUGCAGUCCACAUUCAAAGGCAUAAAAACAAAAAAAAACAAAAAAAAAAAACAAAAACUAAAGGCAUCAGCCGAAAACUACUUAGAAAAAAAUUUAAUAUUAAUAAACUAAAUUAAUUAAAUAAAAUUAAUUAAAACGAAAAAAUAAAAGAAAAAAACCUCUAAGAAGAAAAACAAAACUAAAUAUAAAGAAAUUUAACAUUAACAAACUAAAUUAAACAAAAAAAAUUAUUAAAAAAAAAAAAGCAAAAAAAAUUCCAGGUUAACUUGUCAAACCAAGUUAACCCGUUAAACUCGGGAUCCGUGUCAUGAAUGUCUGGUAACUAAAUAAAAAAAAAGUGAACAUUAACAAACUAAACUAAAUAAAUAAAAAAAAAUAAUUAAAAAGAAAAAAAAAAUCUGGGUUAACUCGUCAAACCAUGCUAACCCGUUAAACCCCGGAUCUGUGUCAUGAAAGUCUGAUAACUAAAUAAAAAAAAUUUAACAUUAACAAACUAAAUUAAACAAAAAACAUUUAUGAAAAUAAUAAUAAUAAAAAAUGACGGGUCAACCCGGAAUUAACUGAGUUCACCCGUGAAAGUCUAAUAACUAAAAAGAAAGAAAUUUAACAUUAACAAACUAAACUAAACGAAAAAAUUAAUUAAAAAGAAUAAAAAGCAAAAAAAUAAUUCUAUUUUAACUUGUCAAACCAAGCUAACCCGUUAAAUCCGGUAAACGUGUCAUGAAAAUCUGACAACUAAAUAAAAAAAUUAAACAUUAAUAAACUAAAUUAAACAAAACAAUUUUGUUAAAAAGAAAAAAACAAGGGAAGAAGCAAAAAAAAUCCCAAAAACACAUAUAAAAAAAAACUAGAAAAACUAAGACAACUUAAUUAAUUAAACAAACCAAGUUAUCCCGUCAAACCUGAGAUUCGCGUUAUGAAAGUUUGAUAACUGCAUAGAAAAAAAAAAUUGAUGGGCUCACCCAUAAUUAAUUAAACAAAAAAAUUAAUUAAAAAGAAAAACCAUAAAAAAAAAAAUCUGGGUUAACCCGUUAAACCCAGAAUGCGUGUUAUAAAAGUUUGAGAUAUAAAAAAAUUCAACAUUAACAAAAAAAAUUUUAAAAAAAUAUCCAUUAAAAAAAACAAAGAAAAAAUAAAGAAAAAAAAACGAAAAAAAAAAUGUCAGCUCAGCUUUUACUGUAGACUGUACUGUGCAGUCCACAGUAAAAGCGUGAGUCCUUUUCGUUAUAGUUUAAUUAAUUAAUAUAUGAGUUUUAUCACAUCUUGAUGUCGGCUGAGAUCGACCUUGCAAGGUGAUUGUGGUUGUCUAGGGAUUUGUGCCCAUGAAUUCCUCCAUUUACGUUCUUCUUCCUUGCAUUUCUUCCCCCAAAUUAUUUCUUCUUCUUCCUUGAUUACUCGCAAUUGUGUCCAAUGAUCUUCAUAAGUAGAAAAUGCAAUAUUUUUAGAUAUGAUAUCUAGGUUAACAUAUUUAUGCCAUGAUCCUUGUCAUCUUAACUGUCUCCUUCGCUGCUGAGACCUUCUACUUGUCUUGAGACUCUCAAUCUUUUUUUUUUCUUUUUUUUUUAUAGGAAUAAAACAGGACUAUGAUCAUGAGAUUCCAGUUUGAUUGGGGGCUGAUUUAAUGGUGAAAACCAACGCUAAAGAUGGCUUGGGAAAGACUAGAAAUCAGCAUGUUUUUUCUUUAAACAACGUUUGUUUUUCCAUCUACCUCAUAGUAAUUGGUUUUUACGACAGUCAACAAUGUAAAGUCUUUGACGGAUCUCAGAUUUAAUAAUUUUAUCAAUAUAAAUUUUUGUCUAUACUUACACUAGUUCAUUUGUGAUUUUUUAAUGGAAAUUAUUUUACCAACAGAAACAUGGAUAAAAAUUAUUAAUCAAAAAAUGUUUGUUGGUGAUUUCUGGUCUUUUGAUAAGUUCAUCGUUAAAAAAAAUUACCAACUUCAUUUUGUUGGUAAUUUCCUCGAUACUAUUUAGUAUAUUACUGAUAGGAGAACCGUAUGUUAUUUCGCCAGUGAGUUAAUAGUUACAGUAAUAUUUUCCAGCUCUAUGGAAUAUACUAACGGACUAAUUCCAUCAGUAAAUUAAUAGUAGCAUUGAUAUUUGUUGUAAUUCCUUUUCAACUCUCUAGAAUUACCAACGGAAUAAGUCUGUUGGUAACCGUCAGUAAUAAUUUUAAAAUAAUUUUAAAAAAAAUCUAUUAAAUAGAAAUAGAAAAUAAUUAAAAUAAUUAAAUUAUUAGAAAAUUCAAAUAUUUAAAAAUAAAUUAUUUUAAUAUUGAAAUCAAAUAUUUAUUACAAAUUUAAAUAUUUUUACGUUCAGACACAAUAAAAGUAUAAUAGAGGCAACAUUGAAGAAGGACGAGGAGGCUGGUCAUCCUCGAGAUCGUAGGGUCAAUAAAGGAUGCACAUGUAUCACUCAUCCGUGAUCUCAUAUCCAUUACCACUAGGUGAAGUUUUUCAUAAUCUGCAAAGAGUUAUUCAUUUUUUUAAUUGAGAAAGGUCAUACGUUCUUAUACUCCUUGAUCUAAUAAGGCCAUGAACUCUGAAAAUUGAGUACUCGGAAUCGAUUACGAGGAUCCAACAUACAAGUCAUCAGCAAGUUCUCAAUCGUAAUGUUAAAAAAUCCAUACACCUGAUUUCUAUUAGUCCACUAAACGAUCUUAUCUCUAACCACAAAUCCGAAUUGAUGUCUAGGUGGGUCAUAGGAUCAUUUUAGUAUCUCUUCUUCAACCGGUUGUUAUAUGACUCUUAGAAAUAUAAUAUAAAUUCAUCAAAUUUAAGUAAAUAAUAACUUAAGAAAAAAAAAUGGUUGAACACCAAUAUACCACAAAGUAUUGAGCUUAGCUAUCCAUAAAUUGAUGCACCCAUUUUUUACUGUCAUCACUUCGCACGUGCAUUUCCACAAAAAAACUUCAUUGGGCUUAGCUCAUAUCCAAGAAUCAUUAUCUGUAAGAUAUAAAUAUUGUCAGUUAAAUAUAUUUAUAAAAAACAACAAACUUAAAAAAUAGAUGUAAUUAAAAAAAAUAUUAUCAUCCAUUUUGCAUGCAAAACGAAUGGAAUAGAGUCGCCAGUGUGCAUGGUAAUGAAACCAUGAAUUUUAUGGCUUUGGUUCCCUAUAUUGGACUGUGACCAUUGCAUGAAAAGCGCAUACGUCAUGUGUUGAAUGUAUUAUGCCCAUAUAGUCUACAAGAUGUAUGACGAUUUGAAAUUCUUUCAAACCACCAUGUCAUUCCAGCCUAGUAGAUUGCUUUCUUUCGUAUAUUUUUUGAAUUUUUUUUAACCUUGUAAAAAAAAUCACACAACCUAUAUAGUAUAAACAAAUUAUCUAUAAGUAAAUGAAAAAUAAAAUUUUAAUACUUGGAAUAAAAAAAUUAUCAUGAUUUUGAUGUUACCUAGUUACAGUGUGAUUCUCUCAAUCCUUCAUCACAACAUUAUCAUUAGCUCUAUUCCACUCAAAUUUCCCUUUGCAGUAAAAAAUUAUAAAAAUAAAAUUUUUAGUAAUUUUAAUAAAGUAAACAAAUUAACAUAAUAAAAAAUUAAGUUAAUAAUAACCUUAAACCUUAAAAAUCAUGUGUCCAUGUAUAAUUUUUAUUAAGGAUGUUUGGAAACCUAGCUCCAUUGAAACAAAAAAUUUUCAUCGACGAUUUAAAUAUCGAUGUUAUCGUUCAGGCAACCUCAAAUGUUUGUAAAUUUCAAAUUGGAUAAAUUUAAUAAAAUAUUUUUUUCAAAAAUUAUUAAACAUGUCAUUAUAAAAGCAAAACAAACUUAUAUUAAAAGGUUGCUGCGGGUGAAUGGAUCCCGCUGUGAAGGGACCCCCCUCUACAUUAUGGUAUUGCACUCGAUGAGGUAGCAUUGUGAGUUGAUGUUUGUGCCUUAGAUGACUCUUCUUGGUUAGCACCUAAUAAGUCAUGAUUGUCAUUAUCGUUGCUAGAAGAAUUAACAGUGAUCUUGUCUUCACGAUGUGCAAUUAAUUUUUUCCUAGGCAUCUACAUAAAUUUACAGGAAAAAAAAUAUACAAUUUUGAUUUAAAAGAAAAACAUUCAACAACACCUCUCCUAUACGGGAAGCCAAACAAUUUAAUCUUGCAAAUAGACAAUAAAUGCCUUCAAUUUCUACCAAUAAUUUUGAAUAAUUCAAUUUCAUAGAAAAUUCUCAUUUUCUAAGUUAUAUUAUUGUUAAUCCUAAAUUUAAAAGAAUUUAUUUUAAAUGGAAUACAUACAAUAUAAUAAAAUUAAUUAAUCCUACACAUUUAAUUAAAUAUUAACAACAAAAUUAAACAAAGAAAAUAACUAAAAUUCAACAAAAUAAUGAAAACAUUAUUGGUUUAACUCAAGGUUAUUCAAUCUAUUUUAAUACUUCUCUUAAUUCAUUAUCAAUUAUCUACAUAAAUUUAAAUUUAUACACAUUUACUGGAAAUUACAAACUUGGUAAUAAAAUUGAUAAAAUAUAAAAUGGACCCAUUAAAUAAGCCAUUAUGUUUUUUUACCACAAAACAUCUAGGUUGAUAAUUCGAUAUAAGUUUCGUCAAUUUACAAAUAAAUAAAAUUUUAUAAAAUUUAAAAACAAAUCCUAACAUGUACAAAUUAUAAAUCCAUACAGCAAAUUUGUUUAAGAAAAAACUAUAAAACUAGUAAACACUCAAACAAAAUACAUAUACUACAAAAAAUAUGAAAAAAAAAUUAUCAUUUGAAAAUUGUGUUCAAAUAAUAAUAAUAAAAAGAUAGAUUUGCUUACUUAAAGUGGAGAAUCCUCAAUAACAUUUGAAUCAGAACACGAAUGCUGACAAAUCUAGUAUUACGGUAGCUGAAUUUGUUGUGGGAGGUUGGAUUGUGUUGAGAUUGGGGGGGGGGGAGGGUGGUUAUUUGUUGCAAAAUAAAAUGCACAAGGAAGAAGUAAAAAUGGGGGAGGGGGAGAGAAGGUCCAGCGCUAGGUCAAAAAUUAAAUAUUAUUGACAAAUUGAUCGAUAUAAUUAUUCUGAUGGUAAACUCCAUCGAUAAUUUUUAUCAAAGAAAUGUCACACCACCAUACGAUUUGUCUUCUUGAAUCUCACUAUAAUAUCCUUCGUAAUGUCGUUUGAUAUAUACCGAUGAAAAUUUUUCAUUGGCAUAUUCAGGGAUGGAUUUUACCAUCGGGUUAAUUAUGUCGGUAAUGUCAUUUGUAAAACUUAUAUAUCAUCGUGUUGUUUGGCUUUUUUUAUUCCUUUUUUAUCUACUACAAUUUCCUUAGUAUAUACCGUGAAAAUAUUUCUAUCAAUGUUUAUCGACGGAUUUAGCAAUGAAAAAUUCAUUUGGUAAAUGUUACCGUAGUAUACCAAUGGAAAAAUUUCACCGAUGUUUCUAUUUAUAUUUGUCAAUUUUUUUUAUAGAUGGAAACUAUGUGCAACGAACAAUGAGGGAUCACAAUGGAGGAAACUAAUUUUUUAGUAAGAUCAAAUAAGCGUGGCGUGAUGGCAAAGGUCUUGAGAUCUGCACAGCAGGUCUCGAGUUCGAGUCAGGACAUGUAUUUUUUAUAAGAGUCUUGGACAGUCAGGGUUUUACUUGCUCACCUGGGCCCACAAAGUACUUUUUUGGAAGGUGAGGUUUCCUCGGAUCCAAAAAAAAAAGGAGAAGAACAAGGUGCCGAUGAUCGAUGGAAGGCGAAAUGAAAAAGGGAGACUCAUUGUUGGGUUCUACUUUUUUGGAACAACAAUUAAUGGAAAUAGCCACCUGGAACACUGAGUGUCCGAGGAAGAGGAAAGUGGGAAGGAAGACUGCCCGGUCAUAAAACUAUCAACGGAGGAAAAAAAAUGUAUAAGGGCACCUUGGCGUCAAACAUUCAUCGUGAAAGUUAUGGGUAGACGAGUAGGCUACAUUUAUCUUUUGCGACGUAUUCGACGAAUAACCUAAAUGGCUGCAUCUGAUAUGCUUCCGGCGUGGUCAAUAUGGGCACGAAAGAGAGAACUGCUCUUCUGGUGAAAAGCAUGAGGAGACCAGUAACGAUAGACAACGAUAUAUUUGUGAGUCUUUAACAAAACUAAGGUAUUUGUUUAAAGUAAAUAUAUAGAUUUCUUAUUGAACUUAUCAAUGAUGGGGUAAUGAUUCUCUCAAAGUCGAAGAUCAUAAUAUCAUUUUGAUAUUGUAUGAUCUUUAGUUUUAUUGAGAACACAGCAACUCUUUUGAACAAUCUCACUCGACAACAAAGAAAUGUCUAAACUUAUACCUCUCACAUUUGCAAUGAGAAGGGACAUAUCUGAAAGCUAAAACAUUAACAAGGAUCAAAUAAAAUAGUCCUAAGAAAGUAAAGGGGGUAUGAAAAGCUUUCGAAAACUUUGAGGUGCCAUUGUCUCUCCUAUAUACUCGAUACGAUGACACCACGCACAAAAUUGAUGUAGAAUCUCGAUCCCUUGAAAAGAAAGGAGAAUUGCAUGGAUGUUUGAAUGAGGUUUUAGCCUGUAUUCUUGUUUAUUUUGAAAAUGAUACUUUGUAAACAGCACUUCGUUAUGAAUCACAAUAGAUACAAUUGGCAAGAAAAGCUAAGGCAUUGGACAAAGUUUACAGCCUACCUCUAACAAAAAUUGCAGUUCUCUAGCAAUAGUAUGAAUAACACCAAAAGAUGCAAAACAGCUCCACAUCCUCCCCAAAAUUCUGCAGUGAACAAUAACACCAAAAUUCAUAAAUGAGGAAACAAAGGGAUUUUGUGACCAAGAUAGGAGGUUUCAGAAGUGACCAUGGAAACGUUGGAUAUCUUUUUUAAUCAUAAUACGUGUGUGCGCUAGAGGGGGAGUGCAUGGAAGGUGGGCUCGUGCCCUGUAUCAAGAGGAGGGCUUCUUAUUUGAGACAAUACAAAGGAAAACCAUGGAAUGCUCAAUCAGCUCUGAGAAAUGCCAUUCAAAAUCAGCAUUUUAUAAAUUGGUUACGAACUAAAAGUUAAAUAGCAUCUAAUAAAAUACCUGCAAGUGAAAGACACAAUGAAACGACAGGGAAAUAAUUUGUAUGGUGAAAGUUUAUUAGGAGGCACAAUGGUUACAUAAAAGAAACAGGAACUCUAGCUUUCGAUAUUUUAUAUAAUGGCACAGGUGUUGUUGAUGUAUAGUUUAUGUGUAGAUGCAUUUAAAGAAACACUCAUUAACCAUGCUCAGUUGAGGGACAAAAUGCAAAUACAAACUGGUGUCAGUUUGAUAAUAUAAACUUCCACAAAGCAUUGGGUAAACUAACAAUUUUGUGCAUGCAAUUGCUUAUUCAUGUGUUGUAACUGAUGUUUAUCUGAUUUUAAGAGACUAACAUGCCUUUAGAGUUUGCCAUGGCAAAAGAAUUUCGCUAUAAAUUAACUAAAUUUAGCUGUAGUUUACUUCAGUACAUUUCUUGCACUAAUAAUUGUUGAAGAUGUGCUAUAAAGUGUUUAUAGCUCGAAGAAAAAUUAGAGGGGCCACAUGUGCUUAAAUCCAUUGUCUAAAAUCAUUUCAAAUGAUAAAGAUUACAUAUGCCUGUUUAUGUGCAACUUGCUGUACCAUUAUGUACUUUGUUUUCACAGUAUAAAAAGGGUUGGAUAUGAUAUGCCCAAACAUUUGCAUUUAAUUAUUCAACAUCAUAAUGGUAUUAUUCUUCGCUAAGAGCAUGUGAAGAUCAGCCAUAACACACAUAUACUAUAAGUGGUGGUAAUCUAAGAAACAAAAGCAAGGUAUUUAAGAGCUGUUUCGGAUUAAUACAUGCAACUUCCAGUUCAAGACCAAAAAAGGUUCACUUGAAUUAGUCUGUAGCCUUGUGAACUUCAUCCACAAAGAGAACUGUGCUAAGAAAAGACUGUACUGCGUCCUUUACUUCUUUACAUCAAAAGAAGCAAAUUAAUCUUAAUAUCAAAUCAUACAUGGAUAAAUCCAAGAUUAAUUAAUAUAUAAUCAACUCAAUAUGAAAAGAUGAAUAUCUACAAAGCAUUGAGUAAUUUACAAGUCAGUGCAUCCAAGUGCUAAUUAAUUGCUUUUACCAAAGUACAUUUCUCGCACUAAAAUAUUCAAGGAUGCAUAUGUACAUAAAACUAGUGGUUCUACAAGUGCUUAAUCCACUGUCUAAAAUUAUUUUCAAUGUUAAAGAUACCCUUUGUUUGUCUGGUGAGACUUUUUGCCUCGAGUUUUACUUCCCAAAUAAGAAAGAGACUAGCAAAAUUAUGUUCCCAUUUUCAUUUAACUAUUGAGAUCACAUUUAACAAGUCAGUCUAAGUCUCACCUGUAUCUAACCCCCACUUGCUUAGUUCCAUCCAUAAAGAGAACUGAGUUAAGAAAAGCUCAUGGUAUGCUCUGAGAGAAAACAGCUGUCUAGCAAAACCAUGAAUGGGCUAGUGUAUUUCUUCUACAGAGUCAAACCACUUCUGCAAAUCUACAUGAAGCUUCAAACAUAUCAUAAGGUUACAGAAUAACUCUGAUAAUGGCCUGCAAGAAUGCUUGAUGGAAUCAUUUUACUUGUUAGCCUAAUCAACAUACGCUGUUAUGGCCUGAAAUGACAAAGGAGUCAGUGCAAGGCAUUUGAAGUUCAAAUUGGUAACUGCAGUCAAUUCCAAGAUUCCAAUAAGAGCCCAAAUAUUUCGUCUACUGCAUAUCUUUUAAUAUGUUCUUUGACAUUAGGCGCCUCUCAAGCACAUGAUUCCAGAAGAGACUUAAGAUGCUGCUGUCACUGGCAUAAGAAGCAUUAAAAGAUCUAUAAAUUUUGAUAGUGAUCAUCAGCCUUUUCUUGUACAUUUCAUCUAAUAUAUCUGAAGUAACAUUGACUUUUCCAACUUUCCAGUAACCAUACGCCAAACUUGUGUAGACGACACUAUCUCCAAAUAUACCCUUAUCUUUCAUAAGACCAAGUACUCUUUGAGCACAAUCAAUCUUUUCUAUUUUACAAAACCUCCUUAUUAGCGCCCUGUACACUGAUACAUCAACACACAAACCUCUUCUCACCAACUCAUCUGGAAGUUUGAUGACUGCCUCUUCAUUUUGUUGCUUGCAAUAACUAUCUACAAGCCAUGAGUAGGUGCAAUAACUAGGAGAAAAUCCUGCAUCCAUCAUACCAAACAAGAGCUCUUUAGCCUUAUCAAUCUCUUUUGCCUUGCAGAAUCCAUGGAUCAAUGCCUUGUAAGUAAACUGGUCUAGCUUUAACCCGGCCCCCACCAUCUUGUCCUUCACUUUUAAAGCAGAUCGCAUAUCACCUAUCUUGCAGUAGGCAUUAAUCAACGUGUUACAGGUGACAUUAUCUGGUUCAAUUUUCCUCUCACUCAUCUCAUUCAACAGUAUAUUUGCAUCUCUUAACCUGCCUCCCUCACACAACUUGCGCAGAAUUGAAUUGUACGUAAUAACAUUUGGAUACAGCCCCUUUUCCGACAUCACCUCCUUCAAUCUCAAAGCUUCAUCAAGGUCAUUUACUCUACAAUAGCCAUCAAUCAAACUAGUAUAAGUCACAUGGUUAGGAGUAACAUCCUUGAUAUCCCUAAAAAGCUGCACAGCCUCUCUCAUUCUACCUUCUCUACAAAACCCAUAAAUAAGUGAAUUGUAAGUAACAAUGUCAGGACUAAUUUCAGCCAUUUCCAUCCGAUCUUGAGCACAUAAGGCUUCAUAAUGCAUUCCCUUUUUACAGUACAACGAAAUUAACGUAUUGUACGUGAAAAGAUCCGGAAAAACACACUUCAAUUCCAUUUCACUCAAAACCUUCUCUGCCUUCUCCACAUCCCCAGACUUACAACAAGCAUGAAGCAACACAUUAUACACAUGAAUAUUAGAUACAACCCCUAGUUUAACCAUCUUCUUAUAAAUUUUCCACACUGUAUCCGUCAACCUGUCCUUAGCCAACGAAUUCAAUAGCACAGUACAAGCAUGUAAAUGGGGCCUAAACCCAUUCACUCUCAUGUGCUCAAAAACCUGAAUAGCCUCGUGGGUCAUCUUGGAAUUCCCAUAAACUAUCACAAGCCAACUCAAAACAUGAGAAUUCACAUCUGGGUCAUCAUGAAUUUUCACCAAUGAACUCAAAACAGAUUGAGUUGACAAGAAGUCCUUGAAAGCAAUAUUUUCAAGAAAAGCAUGAGCAGUCUUGAAAUGCUUAUGCUUUGUCAAAAUAUAAAGCAUAGUCCAUGAAGAUUGUAAUGAGUGUUUAUAGUUAGGAACAGAAGAUUCAAUCCAUUUAAAUAAAGCCCAUGAAAGACAAGGACUUUGGUCAUAAAAAGAUAGUUGCAAAAGUACCUGACGAACUGUUGCUGUUGUUGUAAUGAGAUGGUAAUCGUUAGAGCCAAAUUUGGGUCUCAAAAGAUUGUUCCAGCUACCCUUUAUCACGGAUGCACAAAUACUUUGAAUAAGCAACUGGGUUUCAUUGCUUAUAGGAGUCAAAGUUGCCAUUUUUAUGGGGUUUUCUAACUCACUCUGACAAUCUGCGAAGUGUUUUGAUUUUCUGGUUCUGUAUAGAAAAAACCGAGGGGAAAGAAAGCUGUUCGCUGUGCUCUUGGAGUGGGGGAUAAUUAUGAAUAAUAUUUUAGGAAGUGGCUAUGAUAUUUCUAUGUGACAUAAAUAAGGAAACGAAUUUUAUAAGUUGUUUCAAUUAGGUUCUAAAUUUUGGAAGUUUUGUUCAAAAUUCCCUUUUAUUUUAGUACCUUUGACUUCGUAGGGUUGAGUAAAAUAAUCGAGUAAUUGAAUUAAUAAAAGUUUUUUUUAUAUAACAUUGAAUAAAAAAUUCAAUUAGAUUUCUUUAUUAAAAAAAAAGGAUUCUAUAUCCUUUUGAAAAUGUGAUUGGUGUGAUUGGUGUUGAUUUUUAAAAUAUUUUUCAUUUGAAAAAUGCAUUAAAAUGAUAUUUUUUAAAAAAAAUAUAUCUAAAAAUAUUAAUAUGAAGUAAAGAAAAAAAAUAAAAAAUAAAAAAUAAUUUUUUAAAAAAACACUUUUAAAACACACAAAAAAAAAAAAACAGAACCGAACUAUUUUUUUAAAAAAAAUAAAACAAAAAAAGAAAAAAAAAUCCAAACUCAUUACAUCAAAACCUCUAAAUAAAAACCAAUAAAAAAACCUCAUGGACUAAUUUGUUUUUUUUAAUAGAAAAUCAAUGAAUUAAAUCAGUUUUUCAAUAUAAAAUAAAAUAAAAAAUAAUCUUAGGCUUAUUACAUUAAAACCUCUGAAAACCUAAUUAAAAGACAAGUGGACUAAUAUAUUUUCUUAAAUAAAAAACAAAUCAAGAUAACAAACCAAAUUUAACCAUUUGGUUUGAAUUAAUUUUUUUUGGUUCGGUUCAAUUUAAUAGUUUUUUUAAAUAAUAGCUAGGGACUAAAUUAACUAUUAAUUGAAACAUGAGGGGCUAUCUUUCCACCAUUACAGAGGGAUGUAAAUAAAUUGGUGGCACCCUGGUUUUCGCGUUCUUCUCGAGUAGCGACGCUCUAAGAGAAAGCGGGAGAGAGAGAUGGGGAGCUUGAAAGAAAAAGUAGACAAGAAGCAGAAGAAGAAAAAGAACAAGAAGGCUAACGAUAGCGACUUCAGUGAAAAGGGUAUCUCUUGGUUAAAACUUCCCUGCUUUUAAUAGCUCACCUGCCUCACCAUCUUUCAAGUUCUUACUUUUUUUAAUUUCUACUUGAUUCUAACUUGUGGGUCUUGCUGUGGAAAAUCUUUUAUGUUAUUUUUUUUUGUUUUUUUAAUUGAUGCAUGUAGUAAGGAAUGAGGUUUUAUUAUGAACGAUUGGUUUUGAGAGAGGAAGUUUUAGUCUUUAAUGGAGAUUAGAAAUAUCAGGUUUUUAGGUAUCCUCUUAACGAGGACGACUACAGGAUGGUGUUUCCAGAAAGAGAAUUAGGCAAUGCUAUUGCUUCUCAUAAGUUUUUUUUGCUACUAAACAAUCAGCUGUGAAAUUCUGGCAUAGUAACAACACACACAAAAAUGGGUAGUUCAAGUAGUUUUAAAAACAUCUGUAACGUUUGUUAAUUUGCCGGUUCUUUGGCUUUGUUGUCAUUAUUGAAUUUUUGGUUAAAGAUGGAGCUGUAAUCGAUAGAGAUUCCCAAGUUCAAACUAGUUUCUGCAAGCUCCUUUUUUUUCUUUGUAUCCAAGGAUUUAGAAUUUCACAAAUAAAUUUAUGGGAGUUAAGAAGUCAAUGUGUGUGUCUUUUUUUCUUUUGUUGGUGGUGAAUGAGGUGAUUCUCCUAGAGUGGUAAAAACUGUAGCAGUGGGAGAAGUAUAGGUCCAUAACUAGGUAAUGAGUAGAAUUUUUAGUGUUUUGCAGUAUGUGUUAGGUUCUUUGCUCAGCAUGGUUUAUCAGUAGAUAUUCCACUGUCCCUUACUUCCAUUCGAUGCUUCAACCAAGGAUUACAUGCUUUGACUGAAGGAGAACUACUGUGCUAAAUGGGUAAAACAGCCAGUGAUCUAUUUUUCACCAUAAUCUGGUUGUCAAUUAAACUUUUGAUAUUCCUGUUACAUUACUUGUAUGGAAUACCUGGUUUUUCUUGAAGAAUGAAAAAUGGCUGCUGGUUUUUCAAAUGAUUAAGGGACAAAAGAAGCCCUUUAAAUCCAAGAAUAUCAUUGCAGCUUCUUUUCUUACAAUAGUGGUUUUAUAGAAUGAAUUAAACUUCGCAAAGUGUAGUGUUUGAGUAAGGGACAUAUAAGAUAAUUACAUAAUCACUCUACUUAAGGGACUGUUUAGGGUUGUUGCGGCAAACCAGCCAGUUGGCACCAUGGCACUCCUAGACAGGGACUGAAUCAUUUCACUUCAGAGAUAUAAAAUGGUAGACUUCUAAUCAUCAGUUUAGGUUCAGAUAAGUAGUAUGAAAUUAAUGAAGAAUUCUUGGUUUUGGCCAUGGUUAUCUACUCACUUGUCAUGUAUAGAUUAUGCCAAAUUUCUGCUAUAUUUGAAACUAUAAAUACUGAAAUUAAUUGCUGGUGGCAGUGCCUGAUCAUUUUUUAUUUCAGAUGUAAUGAUAAAAACAGAGGAUGGAAGGAAUAAAGUGAACAAGUCUGCCGAGAAGAAGAAGAAGAGGGAAAGGGAAAAGGAAAAUAAUAUUGAUGGUGGUGAUACUAUUUGGCUCAGUAAAGGUUUAAAAGUUUUUAGACAUAGCAAACUUUUUUCCUAUCUAGAUUUCUAUUAAUCUUUGUCUCAUUCACUUGUUUUUGUUGUUUCAGAAGAUGAUGAGACUAAAGCAGAAGGGGAAAAGAAAAGGAACAAACUAAGAAAAAAUACAAAAAGAAGUGGGGAGCAAAAUAAUGCUGUGGUUGGGAAAUCUGAUCAGCUUGGUGCUGAGUCUGAAGAUGGUUUUAAUCAACUAAAAGGUAAGUCAAUAGGAUUUUCGCUUGGUGAAAUAUGUGUUGACAUACUAUAUCUCUUGACAUUAUGUAACUAAGAUAGUGUUAUUUUUUUUAUCCGUAUUGUCUAGACAGAUUACAUCAGUGCAUACUUGGGUGCUUUGACUCAAUCUCAUAAUUGAUAAAUGCUAUAUUUGGAAAAAUGGGAGUUGUGUGAUUUCGUUAACAAUGUCCUUUUGUCUAAAACUCUCGUUGCAUAUGCACUCCAAAGUGCUUCCACGUUUUGUUUUCUCUCUUUUUUCGUUUUGCUGUGUUUCUUUCUCUUGAACUUGAUAUCACUCUAAUCCACAUUAAGCAAUAAAGUAAUGAAUGUCCGUUUUGUUUUCAUACUAUACUCUUUGUUUGUCAUGCUAUUGUUUUCUGCCUUACAACUUGAUUGAGCUAAGGGGUGAUAUUAAAAAUCCAAAGGGCAAAGUGAAGAUGUUAUUGGAAGAUGAGACAGAUGACAGAAUUUCUUUGUUGGGUUAUGCAGAAUUUCUCUUGAAAACAUUACAUUGCUUUCUUAGUGUGUUGUCUCAUGGUGUACUUCUCAUUCUUCAGGUAAAUCCAAGAAAUCUAAGAAAAAGAAAAGGGAGCAUGACACAUCAAAGGAGGAUGAGAAUAUGCUGGAAAAGAGGGGAGAGACCAAUCAGGAUGAGGCUUGUUGUAUUUCUUCUGGGGAUGAGGACUCCUCAAAAGGAAUGAAAAGUAUGUAUGAAUCAUAUCAUGUGCUAUGUUUUAGCCCUUCAAUUUCAUAAAUCAUAUUAACUAGUAAAAAUCUCUACUAAUCAAAUAAAACUAAAUGGUCAAAUAUUCUCCUUGAAGUUUUGUUUUGUAAUGUACACCAUUGGAUGGCCAUAAUUAGAAGUAGUGUAUCGUAGUAAAACUGUACACCCUUUUUAUUCUGUGUUGAUUGUGUAGCAUUUAAGCAUCCAUUUCUAUUUCAUGGCUCUCCUGGAACAUGACAUUAAGGAUUUGCAUGUCAUGAAUGGGGCAAGGGUAUUAGCUAAAAUUUUCUCUAUUCAAUUGUCUGACUGAUUUCACCAUGCACAAUAUUAGUUUAAUUUCUGAAUGUUGAUUUUAUAUAUAUGAAUGAUGCUUCAUUAUUUAGGUUCCUGACUGUAAACUUGCAUUACAGAGUGGCUUACAGAAUAUCAUCAAAGUAGACCAGGCCUGACGGUGCUGCAACAAAGAUUAGAUGAGUUCUUAAUUGCCCAUGAGGAAAAACUUGAACAGGUAUUGUCUCUCAUGCACCUCUGAGACUGGAUCAUAAUGCGGUGGACCCUUUUCAUAUUUGUUUCUCAGCACUUCUAUUGUUUCUCUAAAGUGAUCAGACCUGCGCAUGCAUUGUCUGGCUCAAAAUUGAACACUUCGCUUUGAGUUUGUACAGAAACAUGCUUGCAGGAAAAGCAUGUUUUUCACAGUUAUCUUUUGACAAAGGUAGAUGAGUGAUAUAGCCGAAACAUUGGAAGAAUUUGUAAAGUAAAUGUUUUGCUAUAGUGCUCUGCAUAUUUCAGCAUUCAGUUUAUGCCAUCCUGUCUCUUCUCUCAUUUUCUGCUCACUUCAAUUGAAAAUUAAUUUGUAUGUUUCUAUUGGCGAAUUAUGUGGUCAAUGUGUUCUUUUGUCAUGGUAGAUUUAGGCUUCCAUCAUGUCUUGUGGUCUUUCUUCCUCGUGCACAGUUUCUCAUUUGUCUUGAUAUGGCAUGUACAGGAAAGAAAAGAAAGAGAAGCCCAAGCUGCAGAAGGGGGAUGGACAGUUGUUAAACAUCACAAAGGAAGGAAAAAGACAACAGAUUCUGAAAGUGGAAUUACCGUGGGCUCUGUUGCUCCAGCUGCUGUGGAGAAUCAGAUGACCAAGAAAAAGCCCAAGGAAGUUGGGCUAGAAUUCUAUCGGUUUCAGAAAAGAGAAGCUCAGAGGAGUGGUAUGAUGAAUCUUAGCAAAUUAGUGUACUGUUUGUUUGUGCAAUAUGCUAUACUAACUAGUUACAGUAACUAUGAGGAGAUACCUGAUGUAUAAUAAGCAUUUAAAGAUCCACAUACACUUGUUUGGAGCAUAAAAGAUGGUAUUUUUCUCUUCAUCUAAGAAACAACUGCUCGUGCUGUUGCUUCUUGAUGAAUUUGGGAUGAGUUGAGUUUUACAUGAAAAAUAUUUUCAGAUCAAACAUGCAUCCUUAUCAUUUCAUUGAUUGUUGUGAAGCAAGGUAUUGAUCGUUAAAUAUCCUUGCAGAAAUUAUGGCACUUCGAAGCAAAUUUGAGGAGGACAGAAAGCGGAUUCAACAAUUGAGAGCUGCUAGGAAGUUUCGACCUUACUGAGUGCUGCAGAGGCCAUGCAGAUCGAUACAAACCGGAAUGUGAAGCAUCUAGGGGUUUAAUUCUAAGCGCCUAAAACUUUUGCAUCUGUUAAAUUAAUUAGAGAUCAUUAUCUGCAUUCUUGAGGUAUCAUAACUCUCUACGACAAUGAGCAAUUUUCAGGUGAUCAACUGAAAUGUCAAAUUUUACAAUGUUGCUGAAGCAACCUUUUUCAUGUUAUAUGAUACUUUCUUCUUGUAAAUCCUUUCAGUAGACAGUUCUAGUGGCCCAAACUGCAAUAAUGGAGGCGGUGCUCCAUUUUUAUCUUUAUUUAGAACACGAAGGAGAAUGCACUGAACUACACAGGUUAUGGCUAUUCCUGUGCGAAAGCAUCAGCAAUGCAACAUCUCUGUGGAUGUUAUAGCUCUGGCUGUUUGACCUAACAGAUGAAUGAUGAUAAAACGAUGCAGCAAUGAAUAAUGAGAUGUAAAAUACCAGUGCUGCAGUAUGUCCUCAAACAGGUUGAGAUUGCCUUUGCUGGUAUAGUUUUACCUGCAGUCCCACUUGAGCAUUUGCUUCUUUACACCAUCAUCAUGAUUUUUGAGAUCAUAUGGAAUUGCUUCAUCUCCAAUGAUAGGUUAACGAAAGACCACGAAGCUGAUAAUCAUAGUUCAUCCACCAUCUAGAGUGUGUUUGGUAUUGCGGUAGCCGUUGUGGUUGUGGUUUGAAAAAAAUUGUUUUAUAAAAAGUACUUUUAGUUGAGGUUGGUUUGAAAAAAUAGGUGUUUGGUUAAAACUGUGGUUGAAAUUGAAAUUGAAAAAAAAAAGUAGUUUAAUAUGUUUGGUUAAAAAAAUGUUUUUCAAUUGAAUUUUUUUUUAACUGGGCCGGACCCGGCAAAAACAUAAUUGGAAUUGCGAUCAAAUUUUACAAAUGCUACGUCAUCAUGCAAUAUCCUUUUAAUUUAUGUAGUAUUAUUAAAUAAUAUUAAAUACUAAUUUUUCGAGUAAAACACAAAUUUUUUUAAAAAAAUCAACAAUUUCAUUAUGUACAAAAUUCAUUUGACAAUAACUACAAUUAUCAUGAUUUAUCCUGCGUGCAAUAAAAUUAGGUAAAAUAUUAUCAGAAAUAAAAUUGAGAUUACAGUACGAAUAAAUUUAACUUACCUUAAAAUAAUUUAAAAAAAAUAAAAAAAAUGUUUUUCAUGUUCACGUGAACGCACUUAAUUAACUGCACUAGUUUUUCGAGAAAAAAAAACUUAAUGCACUGGUUUUUCAAAAGAAAAAAUUAAUACUACUGUUCACUUAGUGAACAGUGCGCGGUGGAGCAUGGCUCCACUAUUGAGAUUCCUUACUCACUACGAGAAGCAGCAAAAUGCUGCUUCUCAAGACCUGCGGUGCAAUCGUUGAUUUCAGUGGGUCCUACUAGCAAAAUACAUUUUUUUUUUUUACCAAACGCUGGUAUGUGUGGCUGCGGGUGAACCUCACCCACAGCUACACUACUAGUACCAAUAACGUAUUUCAGCACCCUUCGCUAGGUCAUGUCUUGGGUAGUGUAUGCUCAAAAUAUUGCAAGUAGACAUGCCUGAUUCUUGAUGACACAUGUUCUCCUGCCUUUCUCUGGUGCUUUCUCGUGGAUUGGAAGUGUUUGUGUAUCUGUCUUUAUAGGCAGAUUAUACGGUUCAUGUACACUCCUGGGUUGUGAAUUUAGAUAAUCACUCACAUCUUCCAUGGAUAAAAUUAGUUCAUCAAUGUGGUAUGUAAGAUCCUUCUUCAAUGGUGACAUCGGCUUCCUUCCAAGCCAAGCGGAAUGACAAAAGGGAAGCAAAAUGUCCGGGUGCGUGCUCCUAUGAGUAUUUGGAUGCGUUUUAAAAAUAUUUUUGACAGGAAAAAAAAUUAAAUAAAUGGGGUUUUCAAUGAUAUUUAAUAGUUUUGAUGUAUUAAUGUUAAAAAUAAAAUAAAAUAAUUUAUUUUUUUAAAUAAAAAAUAUUUUUAAAAAACACCACAAUAAAAUUAUGUUUCAAAAUUUAUAAGAACUUAAACACAAAGAGUUUUUUUAUUUUUUUAAUUUAGCAUUUUUUUAAAAUAUUAAUAAGACAACAUAGUCCAUAAAAUAUUUAAAAAAUAAUAUAAUUUAUAUAAUUGCAAAUGACAUUUAUAUUACAUAUGACAUUUAUGAUUCUCGAAUUACAAAUGUCACUGGCAACUCUUUUAAAUUAUAAAAUGACCUCAUACAAUUAUAACAAGGAAAAUGGAGAAAGCAUGGAAAAAAAAACUUUAAAGAUACUUACCGUAAUUUUAAUAAAAAUAUCAUUUAUAUCAUAAAAAAAAAUCGUAACAAGAUAAAUUCAACGACACCAAAUAAAAUUAUUAAUAAAAUGAGUAAUAUUAGCUGUAAAAAUGACGGGUAUUUUUGAGCAGCUGAUAUAAUUUAUUUUAAUUAUAAUGGGUGAUUAUUUUUAAUAUUGUUUGAUUAAUCUUAGCAAAAUCUUUUCAGAAUUAUUGAUGGCGUAGGUGUAGCUAUUAUAAUUUCAACGUGAUAGUAAGAUUAUUUUCUCUCUCUCCCUCCUUCAUUAUUGCAAACUGUGCAUGUCAUUUUAUAAUUUUAUAAUUUGAACUCUCUGAAUAUUUUCUCUUAGUUUUUGUUUGUCUCUUGCGAUAGAGUACAAAAACACUAUUCACAGAUUGCACAGUUUGCCAGUCUCUUGUCAAUUCCUCGAAAAAGCAAAAGUUUUAUGGGUAGCCAGGGCUCCAUUGAAGAACAUGCUCACUGCAGUCCACGGUACAGAUUUGAUUUGAUGGCUCCCUGCUCUCCACGCCACAAAUCCACAAUGACCUCGAAAAUUCAUAACCAUUGAGAGGCUGAGAAUCUCUUCGUUGAGUAUGUUCUUCCCAGCUGCAUACAACCCAGAAAGGGUCCGGAGGUGACAGGCGGGUCGAAUAUUCCAAGACCCGGUUUUUCCUUUCACGUGCGAAAAGAAUUUGUUCUGUGGUCAUGACUCAUAUCCUUGAAAGGCACUCGUGUCAACUUGUCCACUGCAUGCUUGCCACUCCUUUUAUUCUCCCAUUCUACGCUCCUCAAUUAUUAUCCUAUUCUUUUUUUCUUUUCGAAUUUCCACUUUGCACCAAAAAGGGAGAAAAUAUUUAGAAAAUAUCACAUUUUAGAAUACUACAACCAUCAAGAAUUUUAUUUUAUUGGUCCCAGUAGCCUAACUAAGAUGCCCUACUAGCGACUAGUUGCGGUCAAGGCGGUACCUUCAAGGUUCUGUUUGUUUUAUACUUUAAAAAAAAAUUUAAAUUUUUUUUAUUUAUUUUAAAUUGAUUUUUUUUAAAAAAAAUUAUUUUGAUAAGCUAAUUAUUUUAAUAUAUUUUUAAAUAAAUAAAUACUUUAAAAAAACAAAACAAAAAAAACACAUUCUCAAACAAGCUACAAAUUAAAGUCGAGGAUGUUUUGAUUUUUUAUUAAUUUUAGAUUUUUAGCUUAAUUUAAUGAUUUUUAUUUAAUUCCUUUUAGUACAGCUGGAUAACAAAAUUAUCAACACAAUAUUAUAAUAUAACUCAACCUUUUGAUUUUUUUUUCCCUUAAUUUCAACGGUUGAGCGCUACUCCCAAGCUUAGCAGCUUUUUUGUUCUCUCUCUGCCUAUCAAUAUCGCAAGCAAUCAACUUUUAAUGAUAUGCUUUUGCACUUUAGUUACUUUUAGGUGCAGAAUUUGGAACCACUACGUCAAAAGCAGCAAGGCCUCAAUGAAAAUUAGCCCCCCCUUUUCCAAGUUUUCCUUCAUCCAAGGGACUCGGAGCAAUCAGCACACCACCUCCGAUCGAAAAAGGAAAAAUGCUCACAAAUUAAAGCAGAAGUAAACAAAAGAUUGAUGAAUUGAUGUGGCGGUUAUUUUUGGAAGUGUUUAUAUUAUAUAUAUUAAGCAAUAAAGAUGAUCAAAAGAACAAGGCACUCAAACAAAUAUAGCAUGCAUUUGAAUGAUAAAAUGCAGGUUUUACACUCGCAAGAUCUGAUAACACAAACCCCUUUAUUAAUCCAAAGUCAAAACUAAAUUGAUAAUGAAAGACACAAGGCAUGGACAAAUGCCUCUAAGGACUCAGAAUCAUAACCCCAUGAAAUUUAUUCAAGGAAAAAAUAGAAGGAAAAAACAAAUAGCUGAAAAGAACUACUUCUCUUCAGCUUCCUCGUCCUUCUCAUCCUCACUCCAACAACAUUUCAGGAUAGACCUGGGAGAUGCACUGCCUCCAGUCCUUGCAAAGCUGUGGUAGAUGAUCGAUCCUCCUUUCCCAAGCAUUUCAUAGUUCCCUCCUCCACCAGAGUAACCUUCCACAUCCAGGGGAAACUUUGCUCGAAGUUCGGCACCCUUGAUAUUAGAAUGCAAAGCAACGGAGAACUCGGUCGGUUCAAAGCAAGCCAAAACCCUUUCAAGCAGCUGACUCAAAUUCAAAUCUUGAAGAUCAUAGCCCACAGCCUCAAAACUUGCAUAGCUGAAACCAUCUUCUGGAGUGACGUGGAUUGUGGAAAUUGCACUCCCUUCAAUGGCAUUCAUAGAGUAACCACAAGGGUCAAAAUCAAAAUCACAGAUCUCAGACUGUGGAAGGAUUUUCCUUAUGCCGGAAUCCUCAGUCAUCGCAGCAGCUGAACUGGAAUGUGUUUUGUAGAAAACAGAUGCUUGUUUCCUGCCCAAACCAGUCAUGCACAUUUCCAGAGUGUAAACAGGGGCAGAAUGUCUCCCUAUAUCGGCAGAGGCAGAGUAAACAUGCCAUUUCUGAGUUUUGUCAAGACCACCCAUCACAUAUGCCACACUGUUCAAACCAAGUUUACUGAAAUGGCCAUCAAGGACAGCUACCUCCUCACAGAAGUUGCGGUGUGGAAAUGGCUGAGCCCCAGGGCAUAGAAAGCUCCCACGAGUAUACCUCACAGAACAUACAGUGAGUGAAAGGGCAUCAGCGAGCUUAAGAAUCACCGGUAUAGAGAGAAGCAGUUUGGUAGUCCCACAAGUUUUGAUAAUAACUUUGUAUGGGUACACAAAGAGACUGGAUUCCGACAGGACAUAAGAAUCAACCUGGUCAUUUGAUAGCAAAUCAACAAUAGUACAUUCAGCUGGUUUGAGAAUCUCGUCCAAUUGAGCCUUGGACAAAGACCUCAGGCCCUUUCCUUCAGGGUCAGAAAAGAAGCCAGGCUCUUGGAAAGAUAUUUCAAGCCUUUUUUCGUAACCUUCAAAUCCGAUUGCAGAGAGCGCCAUCUCACCUCACAGUCAACAAAUGAAAAGUGCAGCAAAGAGUACAAGAGAACGAGGAAAGCAGAACAGAAAAACAGACUAAAGACAAUUGAGUGUGCGAAAUAGCUAAAAUGGGGUUAUGUCAACACUUGGAAAAUCUCAGGAUGGUUUCCGAACGCACUGCACAAAUAAACAUGACACAAGAUUAGGAAACAAGUCGCACAAUGAAAAGGCAAAGGAAAAACAGAUCGAUUAACUUCAAACUCACGUUGGAGUAUGCAGCAGAUCUGAACUUCUUGAUUCCACCAGCAGGUCUGAGGUCUUCAAUGCUGUAACCGAGGGGAGCUUCGUAACAUAAGGAUUUACUACUACUACUACUAGACUUCUUCUUGCCACCUUUAGACUCCAUUAGAUCAUUCAGUCUUGUCUGUAAGAAUCACACAAGAAGGAUUGCAAUUAGCACAAAACUCAAAGCAAACUAGUCUAUAAUCUUAAAAAUAAUAGCAAAAUUCCAAUAGCAAAUUAAAAAAAACUGAGAAGCUAGACAAGGAGAUAAAAGAAGCAAUUAAAAAAAUGAUAAAAAGGGCAAAACAAAACAAAGGGUACAAGCAGAAAACUUUUCAUGUAUUCACAAUAGAGACAUAUUGGAGAUUAAAAAUCAACAGACAAUACAAGCUACAAAAAUCACUAAUCAAUCACCAAAUCAUAAGUAAAAUAAAAUAAAAUAUUGAAUUUAAAAGACUAUUCACAAGGAUAGAAAAAAUACCAAAGAGAAAGAAUUCAAAUCCCCAAACACCAUUUAAUUUUAAAUAAGUUGCAGAAUAAAAUAAAAUAAGUUAUUCUCAGAAGAAAAUUUGCUAAGCCUAAUAUAUAUUUUUUUUUCAAGACCAAGAUCAUUGCUAAGCAACAUAAACCAAGUCCAGACACCUUGACGAAUCCAUAAACAUAAAAGCCUCAGAUUUACAUUAUAUCAAGGAUCGGAACAAUUAACAUACACAUAAAACAUAAAGGACAACAAUACAAAAACAAGUCCAAAUCAACAUCUACACCAAGAAUCCAUGCAAGUAUUACCAAAAAAGGGGAGAAAAAAAACUUACCAAUAAAAUAUAUCAAAUCUUGAAAAGCUAGUCUCCUUUGAAAACCCCCUCUUUCUCAAAUUCAAAAAAAAACCUACAAACCAAAGUCACAAAGAAUUAAACAAAAUCACCAGAUUACAAAACCACAGCAAGCAAAAGAAACAAUGUAUAUAUUACCUAUUCAAAAAGCAUAAAAGAAACAGGUCAAGAUUGAAUUUUGAAAGCAAAGACGGCGAAAACAGUCACCAAAUCAAGAAACCCUAUUUUUAUUUGUGAUGAGAGAGAUUUUUAUGACCCUAAACUUGCAAUAUUUUUUAUGUGAGUUCUGAGAGAAAUAUAGGGUUUAUAUAGGAGUGGCUGGCUGGCUGUGGAGGUUUUGAAAUAACCAUGGGAUUGGUAGUUAAUUACGUCCAUGCCACUACCAAAAACUUUCUUUCUUAUUUCACGUGAAUUUCCUCGAAGACCGGAUAGCCACACAUCUUUUGGUAAGUUAAUGACUAUAUUACCCUUUACGAGUUUGCAAGAUAAGCGGAGUAACGACAACGCAUUUUAGGUGGGCGAGUCGAUAGAAUCAUAGAAGUGUGUGGCUCUUCUGCAUUAUCAGCCUUAUUUCUUUUAUGAUAAUAAAAAUAAAAUAAAAUAAACAUUACAGUUGUUUUCUUAGGUAAAUUUAGGCAGGGUUAAAAGUUUAGUUGUCAUUGGUUUUUUUUAAGUAUUUUUUAAUACUGAAAUUUAUUAAAAUUAUUUUUUUAUUUUAAAAAAAUUAUUUUUAAAAUUAUCACAUCAAAACAAUUUAAUAUAUAUAAAAAUAAAAUUAAUUUUUUUAGAAACACUUUCAAAAUACUUACUAAAUAGUCCAUUAAGUUUUUUUUCCCUUUGGUUCACCAAUUAAAAAUCACUAAGUUUGAUGUGUUUUCACUUUGUUUUGCAAAAUAAUAUGAAAAGAGCACUCUCAAAAUUGUAUUGAAAAUAAUUUAGGUUUCAAAAAUCGUCUUUUACUAUAUAAAAAAAAAAGAGUUCAAAAACAGAGUAAUAUUCUGUUUUUUUUUAAUAAAAAACUUAAAAAUAAAAAGGAAAAAAUUGAUUUUUUUCAAGAUUUUGUGAAAAAAUAAGGUAAAAAAAAAGAAUAUUACAAUUAUUAAAUAAGCUAGGCACAGAAGAAGAAUUGCAUUACAGUUAUUUUAUAUGUGAAAAUCUAUUCUAUAAUAUUUCUAACUAAAUAUAUAUUUUUUAAAUUUAUUUUUUUAAAAAAUAUAAUUAAAAUCUUUUUUCUUCAAUUUGUUUUCAAACCGUAACAAAAAAAUAAAAUAAAACAAGCCAGUUCAGGUACGUAUGUGUUGUGUGGUGCUGCGCUGACGUGUCUGUUGAUGAUGACAAGUUGCAGCUGCCAGCUAGCUUUUCUUGGAGGGCUGACACGACAUGUAACUAUUCCCACCCCAUACGUUUACUGCCUGCCUCUUUGUCUCUUCCUUCUUUGCCCUUUUCAUGCUCGUCUUGCUUGCUGGUUUGGGUCCCACAGCAUCUAUCCGGGCUCACUUCCAAAUCUGUGGUGUGGUAAGAUAUCCCUUCCACUUUUCAAAAAAAAAAACCCUAGUUACGGGUUAAUUUUGAAUUUGGUUGUCUGUCUGUUUUUAUAUAUAUGUUUUAAAAAUAUUUAAAAAAUAAUAAUUUUUUUAUUUAUUUAUUUUAAAUUAAUAUUUUUUUGAUAAAUGAUAUAAAAAAUAUUAUUUUUUUUAUAUUUUUUAAAAAAUAACCACUAUUAUAUUUUCAAAUAUCUAUUUAAUCCACAUUGGAUUUCUUAAUAAAUAAAAUAAAAUAAAUUAAUUCAAUUAAAAAUUUAGGUCAACUUGUGUUAUGAUAAAAAAUACCUUUUGAUUUUUAAAAAAAAACUAAAAGCAACAUUAUUUUGAUUUUAAAAAAAUUGAUUUAACUCACUACAUAAAUCUUCAAUAGUACAGGUCAGGUUUAAUAACUCUUAUUUAAGAAUUAGCUAAAUAAUACAUUUAUUGACCUUUAUGGUCAUGGGUCCACAGUUCCACACAAAUAUGAACCACAAUCACACCAAUUUUGAUUAUUUUUUUAAUAAUUUUUUUGUGUCUUUUUUAUAUAUUGAUAUUAAAAAUAAAUUAAAAAUAAAAUAUAUUAUUUUAAUAUAUUUUUAAAUAAAAAAUAUUUUAAAAAAUAAUCUCUUUCAUAAUACUAAACAACAUCAAAAAUAAAAAUUUUGAAGUGUGGAGGGCUGGUUUGGCUUCCCAUCAUAAGAAUAUAUAAAGAUGAGAAGAGAUUAUUUAAAAAAAAAAUAAAGAUGACAUUGAUUAUUUUUAAGAUUAAAUAUUUUAAAAUCAGCCCCCAUACAUUUAGAUUAAAUAUUUAUCUGAUUCAGUUUUAUUUAAUUUUUACUUUCAAGUAAAUUUUUAUGUUUUUAAAUUUUUUUGAUAUGUUAAUAUUAAAAAUAAAUUAAAAUUAAAAAUAUAUUAUUUUUAUAUAUUUUUAAAUAAAAAAUAUUUUAAAAAAUAAUCUCUACCAUAAUAUUAAAUAUAGCAUGAGAGAGCUCAAUUUUGAGGAGUGCAGGGCCAAUUUGGCUUCCCAUCGUAUGAAUAUAUUACUAUGAGAAGAGACUUUAGCUUCUUCUUUUUUUAAAGAUGACAUUGAUUAUUUUUAAGACUAAAUAUUUUUAAAUCAGCUCCCAGAUUAAAUAAUUAUCUAAUUCAGUUUUAUUUAGAUUAUGCUUUCAUACACAUCUUUACUAGUGACAAAGCCUCUUUUUUUUUUUUUUAUCAACAAAGUCAAUUAAGGACCCUUGCGUUACAAAAAAGUUAAUUAAUUUAAAACAUCAAGUCGACACUUAUAAACCAAUUCAAAAUAACAAUUUAACAUAUGUGUGUAUUAAGAAUUAAAUUCAUAUGCUUAGCACAAACGUGAAGAAAAAUAGAAAAUAAAUUAAAGUGAAAUAUUCUGACUAUCUAGAAUUAUAUUAAUUAAAUUUGUAACCGAGGUUCCGUGUUAUAAUGGGAAUUUGAAUAUCAAAGCUUCUAAAAUUUAAUCCAAAAAGAAAUAGUAAAAAGUAAAAAGUGAGAAGAUUUUAGUUAGUUAAGUUUUGAUUUUUUUAAAAAAAAUAUUUACUUACCUGAAUCAUUAACAUGUUUAGGAGUGUGGUUGCAGUUGCUUUUAAAAAUAUUUUUCGUACCGAAAUAUAUCAAAAUAAUAAUUUUUAUUUUUAAAAAAUUAUUUUUGAAAUCAGCACAUUAAAAUAAUUCAAAACAUAUAAAAAUUUUUAAUUUUUAAUAACUAAAUAAAUAAAUUUUGACGAAACACGAUUUGCAUCGCGUUCCCAAACACCAUGAUGUUAUAUAGAUUUACAAUUUGAAUCAGAAAAAAACAUUCCUUUUUUUUACACUAAUUUUUAAUGGAAUGUAUUAAUUGGAUUUAAAACUUGAAUUAGAAAAAUAUUCCUUUUUUGCACUAAUUUUUAAGGGGAUGUAUUAAUUGGAUUUAAAAUUUGAAUUAGAAAAAGACAUUCCUUUUUUGCACUAAUUGUUAAAUGAAUGUAUUAAUUGGAUUUAAAGCUUGAAUUAGAGAAAUAUUCCUUUUUUGCACUAGUUUUUAAAGGAACGUAUUGAUUGGAUUUAAAAUUUGAAUUAGAAAAACAAAAAUCCUUUUUUGCACUAAAUUUUACAGGAAUGUAUUAAUUGUGUCUCUAUACAAGUUAAAGUGCUUGAAAAGGAGAAAAAUAAAAAGGUAAGUCAAUACAUCCUUUACAUAAUAUGAUAAAUAAAGCCAUCAAACUCAUGGAGGUGAUUUAUUAUUAUUAGCUCUGACAAGUUAGAGACAUGAAAAAUGUAAAUAUAAGUCCACUUAUUGUGUAAUUAUAGUUAUUUUUUAAAAUAUUUUUUAUUUAAAAAUAUAUCAAAAUAAUACUUUUUUUUAUUUUUAAAAAUUUAUUUUUAAUAUCAACGCAUCAAAAUGAUUUAAAAACACCAAAAAUAUAUUAAUUUUAAAAAAAUAAAAUAUUUUUUCAAAAACAUUUUUGAAAUGCAAAAACAAACAAAACAUAAUUAAAGAAUAUUUUCCUUUUGAAAAGGAAUCAAAUUCUUAUAUUUUCCGAGUUAAUCUGUUGGUUAAUGUAUCAAUACAGAAAAAUAAUUAAAAUAAAAUACUAGAGAUAAAAGGUUACAUCUUUAUAUAUUAAAAUGACAAUAAUUUAUAUCUUUAUUUUUGUAGGUUUCUGUUCUACCAUUAACCAUCAUAUUUAUGAUUCUUCUAGACAUAUCUUACACUUCUGUCUUGAAACCCUAACCAAAUUUAACCUUAAUGGUUGCCAGCACCAUUAUUAAAGGGAAGAUUUGCCGACACUUCUGUCCAAUUGCACGGGCAUCCACUGCUUAGGAAUAAAUUCUGUCGAGACAUUAGCUUCAUUAGAGCCUAUGCUUUUGCAUGUUGGGCGGAAAGUAAACCACUAGACAGUAUGUAUGCAGCAAAUGCAUGGAACUUAUCAAAAAAAGGCGAUUCUUCAAAGGUGCUCUUGAUAUCUAUCUUCUUAUUGAAGAACUAACCAUGAUGCUUCCGAGCAAUGUGUAUCUGCAGGCUUGGUACAAGGGACCAGACAACAUAUAUCUUCAACUAUUCUACGGGUGUUCAAGGAUGCUCAAGAACAAUUUUGCAACUUCACGUUUUCUCGAUGAUGACACAUAUGAAGCAUUUCUGAUGCCCUAAUUUUGUGAUGAUGUCCCACUACCAGCCCGAUCUGGCUGGAUAAGAAUUCUCUGUCAGCCAAAAUCUUUAUGAGCUGGUUGGCACGAGAAACUUCUGUUGACUUGCAAUCUCUAACUAGGAACAAGAAGCCAAAAGAAAUGAAGUGAAUCAACUCUCCUUCUAAGAAGUAGCAAAGUGUAAUUAUUACCUAUCAAGCAAGGUAAACAGACGAGCAUGUCAUUUUAGUUGAUUUACUCAGGCAGUGUUAUGAGAUGGAAAACAGAUUUUAAGGUUAACAAGGUGAGAGGCAUGUCCAGGGCAGGAGAGGCGUUUAAAAAUAAUUCUUGAAAUAUUAUACCGAAAUUACACACCUUCCAUGCAAUCAUUACUGAAAAGACACAAUCUAGUCAUCAUCUUUAUCGCUAUCAUAUUCAAUGCAUUACAAUCAAGAAGAGAAUCCCAUCCUAGUAGGAGAUGACUAGAUCUGACCACUAAUGUCACACUACUUUCUCUAAUCCGUAUGCAUCACAUGUUCCAUGGACAUUUUCAACUCCACCAAGCAACUAUGGAGCAUCAGGCCAUCACGGAAGUAAAUGCUUUAUAAACACUUUUCAUGCUAUAAGAUAGUUCAUGACAAAAGAAUAAAAGAAUCAGAAUGUAUGGAGUAACUAAAGGCUUAGCUCCCUUGAAAGAAGAGAAAAACCUUCAUUGUAACUGUUCCUGAUUCCUGUUAAUUUCUGUGGAAUGACUAAGCUUUCCAUUCUUCUUGUCAUACUCUUGUUUCAGCUCUUCCAAACGUCUGGACACCUGAUAACGAAUCCACUCCUUUUUCAUGAAUAAUGAAUAAAGUUUUACUUCAAAAACUAAGCCGGUUCAAUAUGCAGAACACUAACGCAUAUUAAUUACAUUGCUAGGGGUGUGUGUCUAAGCAUAAUUUAAGCAACUACCCAAAAUACAGCCAAAUUGCUCGAAUAUCCAACAACAUUAUAAAAUGCGCACACACAGACAUGAUACAUAUGGCUCCCCUUAUAAAUCAUCAAAAAUACAAUAUGGUUCCGCUUAUAUUAAUGGCUCCAAAUAUUAAUAAUUCUUACCGAUUCAUGAUUUUAGGAGGAACCAUAUAUUUUCUCGGAGUUAUAUUUCAUAUUUUUCACUAUUCUGUGUCAAGAAUACAAAACAAAACAUACACAGGAAAAGUGGCUGUAUCAAAUCAACCAAAACAGAAUUUAAGAAUAUCAGAAUUUUUGGCAGCUUAAACAGAGAUUGCUACUGAAUGACAGCAAACUUUUAUUAAAUAUCACUGUAAAAUACAACAUGUUUACUGGCUCAAAAGAUUAAAAUCCAAAGAUCAUCAUAGAAGCACAAGACUGUCUAUAAUUAUAAUUUGACUAUACUGAUCCAACAUACAGAAAAUGGAUGGAGAUAACCAGAGCAACCAUGAUAUAUAAUAAGUGUGAUAUGAUGGUAGAAUGUAGAGUUCAAAUAAAACUCAAAUUUUUGCUUUUGCUUAAACACACGCCAGCCACACACAGAGAAAGAGAGAACCUUGAUGGAGUUAGCCAUAGGCAGUACUGUAUCUGGAUCCAUUGCACCCUCAGGGAAAUUACGCAAAGCAUGUACAAGCUUCUCAAAGGGCAAUUUGACCUGAAAACAAAAAGAAAACCAAUUAUAAGCCGGGGAUGUGCGGCUAUUUCUUUCAGAGUAGACAAAAAAAUCUUGGAUCCUCACCAAGUCAUCAUGGCAAUAUUUUAGCAGUGCCAGGCCCACUUUGAAAACAAUUUUUACACCCUGGCAAAGAAGAAAUUGCAGAGACAUAUUAACACCCAGACCAUAUGUAAUGAUCCUUCCCAGAAAAACCGUAAAAAAUGAUUAAUAACUGACCUCGUAAAGGAAGACAUCCCAAAUCCGAAGGGCCAAGUGGAAUGGAAAAGAGUAUGAGAAAACAGUUAUAAACCACUGGCUUGCAUACAUGCUAGGAUUUAUUAUUUCUUGUGUGAAAUGCUCUCCCAGUUUCGGCAUAUGCUCCUUCAUCAAGCAGUCAAACUGAAACAGAUAUUGUUGAACAAGAGGCAGACCCACCUGACACAAGUAUAAAAUAUAACUUCUCACAGGAUGAAAGUGUUUUCAAAGCCCAAGAAGAGUGGAUGAGGUGCUGUUCCCUCAGACUCGAGUUCAAAAAGAUGCUACAGGUGGUUCAUAUGCUCAUAUCAUACCAAUAAAUGGUUGAUGGGGUUUUGAGGCGGUAAUAAAUCUUGGCAGUUUACAGACCGUUACAUUCCCUUUUCUCUCUCAAGUAUGAAGCAGCUCAUUUACAUGAAGCAUGUGGUGAACCUACCAUUGAACGUACAAAGAUCAAUCUAACUCUAAGAAAGCUUGAAGGAGCCCCAAAACUCAGAAUAGGAUGCCACCAUAACCAGGUGGAAAAAGAUUCUCUCACCUUUUGGUAUCACAUGAAAUAAACAAAUUUCAAAUGGUCAUGAUACUGUGGAUGACUAGUGGAUUCAUAAUUUUGGUAACUGCAGAAAACUUGUCUCCACAAAACAUAAUUCAAAACUAAUAGACUAUUUUUUCUUUCCUUAACAAGGAGUAUGGAAUCAAAGUUAAAACUCCAUAGUGGCUGGCCUUUCCUUAAGUUUGAGGAAGCGGUAAGCCACCCCUCUAGGUUAUGGUAUUUGAAAUUGUAAUUAGAUAAAUAUGCAUCUUGUAAUUCUGAACUUGGCUAAAAAAAUUAUCAAGAAGCGGUCCCAGCUCCUUAUCAAGGCAUUCCAAGUGUAAGUGUGCACAGUGGUGUGCGUGGGAGAGAAACAGAGGAAAUUCAAGCCUGAUUUCAUCAACAGAGGGCAUCCUUCAUUUUUUUUUAAUGCUAACAGAGGAUAUAAAUUCUAUAAGCUACUAAGAAGUGAAAAGUUGCAAGUGACACCACCAUUAUGUGGUGUAUGUAUUGUCAAGGAAGUUGAUGGAUGAUAACACUUCCUUUCAGCACUCUCCCUGAAACACCAAGCCACCACAACAAAGCCACAUGAAAACUUGUUGAGAUGAAUAAAUGCAAAUCUUAUUGCAUCGCGUUGCUUUAUCUCGCCCAGUCUGUGCUGACUUGAUAGUGAUCUAUAUCUAUGAUUGUAGGGAAUUAGCAUCUCACAGCCAAUAAUCUAAGCUAACCACAACUUUACAAAUGUGAACAAGAAGCUCUUUGUAUAAAUGAAUUACCUGAUAUAAUCCCUCCAUUGGAGCAUGGACCGCUCCUUUCAGCAACGCAACCAACAACCAAAAAGCAUCCUCUUCACUCAUAUAAAGAAGUAGUAAACCAGCUAAAAAUCCCAUCCCCUGCAUUUUUUAACAAUUGAACUGUCAUUCUCCAGUCAGUGAAUUAAGUAAAUUUAAGAUCCAUAAAUCACACAAGUCUCAGACCUGAACAUAUCCAACAUCUCUAUCAUACACAGAGUAAGCCUUCAAAACAUUGUACAGCGACCUUUGACCAGGACCAUGUCUCUGCUGGAAGAAAACAUGCGAUGGGAAGGUCCGAGAAAUAUCUCUAAUUAUAUCCAGCUCUGAUGCUGAUGUCUCAUAUAUAACUAGUUGCUGCAGUAAAUAUAUAGUUUCAUCAUUAUGACACAAACUAAUCUAUGUGUGGCCGUGUGUACAUGCAAGCAGAGGGAAAAGAGCAUGAAAAGCUAAAAUUAACAUCAGAAACCAAGAACUGUGCAUUCAUUUAUUCUUUUUAGGAUAUAAUUCCCCAGCCACUUAUGAUCUUUUCACAGAUAAUGUACUGGUUAUGUAGUAGUAAAUUUCUCUAAGAAUAAAUCCCAAGUCAAUACUUGUAAAAUCUCUUUGCAUGUGAACAGUGAAAACUCCUGCGUUUCUCUCAUAUGAAGGCACAUCACAAACACACAUCAGAAGACAGAGCCUUAUUUGGUCUAUUACGUGCAAAAGCUCAUUAGUGUCUACCCUGUUAAGGUGCCCUAAACAAAAGUUUUAUCUCAAAAAGCAAUUUAUCCUUCCAAAUUUGGUUCAAAGCGAGUAAGGAUAAUAGCCUUGGGGUAUUAGAAAGGAUUAGCAAAAGAGCUUCUCAAAACCCUCAAGAGGUCUAAAAACCCUCUUAGCUACCUUGAUGGAAAACUAAAAUUGUCAAAAAUAGGUAAAGAAGAACGAAAUCCUUUGUCUAGCUUAGAUUCCUUACAAAGAACAAAAGAAAGAAAAGCACUGAAGGACACAUGAUUGGAUGCCAGUAAGGGCUAUAGAAAAGAAAUAUCCCUUCUCCACGUCUUCUAAGAAGAAUAUGAUUUGUUUUACUUCACCGAUUGUACUAGCAAAAUGAUCUGCAGAUAUUUUUGGAAUAAAGCUUCACUGUAUGUAAUCUGCAAUAAUUUCAGCACCGAUCCAUUAAUUUUUAUGCGAGAGGUGUAGAGCCCUUGUCAGAGCCAAAAAUUUCAUACAUGUAUAUACCAAAGCAGCUCCCUGGAUAAUGUUCAUAGGUACUGUUCCUACAUAUACUAUGUUAUCCCCUUCUGCUUUCAAUUUCAACUCCAGAACAAAUCAACAUUUAUCUAUGUACAAAAAAACCUUAAAAUUCCCAGCAGUAGCCAUGUACAUUGAUCAAACAAUUGCCCUGAAUCUAAAUUAUAAGGCAGUCACACAUCACUACAAGGCAAUGCUAUUUGAAUGUUAAAUGUCUUUACAUAUGUGAGAUAAUGUGUACAAACUAAACAAGCAACCUAGUAUAUGUCGAUGCACACUUUAUUUUUUCAUCUUCUUACAUACAACUUUAACAUUAAUAAGCAUGGCAAGACACAAUUGCUCAUCAAGUUUUCCCAGCUAAUCCCUUCCCUGACAUGCUACAUAGCUUCCCUAGGGAAGGGGAUUAUAGAGACAUAACUGUCAAGUAGAUGGGAAAUAUAGGCAUUUUUUUACGAUCUUUCUUAAGGGAAAUGGCCCGUGGUGCUUAAAUGUCUGUAAUGAAUGUUCUUGAAAUUGGAGAUUGCUAAAGUUCAGAAAUUUAAUUCAGGACUAUAUAGAGCAUUCAGUAGGCAAUGGAAAGAAUUAUCCAUCUCUGGUGGGACUCUUGGCAUCCUCAUGGAACCUUGGUCAAACAAUAUGGUCAGAUAAUCAUUUUUGAAUCUGGACCGCCUUCUACAGCAAGGCUUUUACAUGUGAUAAACAGCAAUGAAAGUAAAUGGCUAGCUCAGAUGCCAUGGAAGUGCCAUUCAAUGUGCUAUUUGUGGCUUUCUCUUCCCUUAUCCUUCGCAAAGCGAUGGUGUUAUAUGGAAACUCACUAAUGAUGGGCAAUUCUCCUCUAAGAGUGCUUGGGAUUUGAUCAAGAAAAAAUGAAGCGGAGUGGACAGGUUAAAAGAUGAGGCACGUCAAAAUGGACAGGGUCAUGGUUUCAGUUUCUGUGUUAAGCAGAGGAUGAUGAAGACAGAAAUCACCUCUUCCUCACUUGUGUGUUCUCUAAAAGAGUCUGGCAGCCAAUUCUCCAAAUUUGUGGGAAUAAUAGGGUCGUUUCUGUUUGGAACUCUGAGUUGUGCUUGGCAAAAAUCUUUAUUCAGAAAAAGUCUUUUCAAUCUAUUGUUAUGAGGCUUCAUUGGUGUUUUUUUUCUACUGUAUUUGGAAGGAAAGGAAGCAAAAGAUUCAUAAUACUGUUGCAGUAGAUGAAGGUAGCACUGUAAAGAACAUUGUUCAGACAGUCCAGAUAAGGCUUCAAGAUACUAAGAUUUUGCAGGAAGCAACUGGUAACCCAAACAUUUCCAGAUUUUGUGACUUCUGGAAUUUUUUUAAGAUAAAUUUUCUUUCUUAUUUAGAUGUAAAUAACUCUGGUAAACCAGGAAAUUUCAGGUUUUUGAUCUACGAAAUUCACCAUUCAUAUAAAAAAUUAAAAAAUUCUUAAGGUCUUUCUGCAACUAAGCAAAGUUCUGAAAUUCAUACAUCUAAAUCAUCCAGAUGAGUAUAUCAGGCCAUCACAAACUAAGCCCUAGAAUUUUUGGCACUGCCACCAUCAAAUGCUCUUUUUAGCAUACUGAUAUACCAUCCACUAAAAAAGAGCCAAAGUUGAUUUUAAUCCUCUGAAUCAGAUAUAUUGACUAAUUGUUGAAAACAUUAAGAUGGAUAACAAAUGCAUGAUUUAAUCAAUCAACAUGGACUUUGAUUUUAAAUUUUAUUAUCUGAGAGCUUUAAAUCUUGUGCCUUUAACACCUACGUGUUGAAGUGAACAGACCAAUGUGCAAAAUAUUCAGAAAAAAGGAAGAAGUGAGGGGAGUCCGGUAACAUCUGAAGAACUAAAAUGAAUGAUUUUAACGCUCAAAGAUAAUAUGAGCAAAGCCACUACAUAUUACAAAUAGAAUCUCAUUACCAAAAUGAUAAGCAAAAGAUCUCAGGUUAUAUAUCUCAAUCAAGACAAGUGAAGGAGUACCUCAUAAACCCCAGGGUUCAUCAGCAAAAGGUCACGACUUCCGGAGAUCAACUGCCAAACAAGACCCCUUAAACAGUCAGGGAUUCCUUUCCUUAUGCGCCUCUUAACAACAUGAGGUUUUCUUCGAACAUAAAGCUUCCAAUCACUCCCUCCAACCCCAAUCAUCUUCCUCCAUUUUCUUACCCUUCUUUCCUCCCUGAAAAAUUUUUAUGUCCACAAUCACUAAUCAAGAUUAUUAUCUAUUAGUAUCAAGGAAGAUCCAUCAAUGAGCCUUUGGCAUUAACUCAUUUGGAAUAUUGGAAAUGACCUCCUGAAGAAACACCAUACCUCUCAAAUUCAUAAGCUGACCUUCCUUUGGUUAAACCAUGUGGUGAAUUAUUAACCUCUUGCUUCACAAAGCCAAACCUAUCCAGUGGUCUUGGUGAAGGAAGCGGUCCUGAUUCAUAUUCAUCUAUUUUUUUCUUCAUGCUACUAUUUGAAAGAAACUUUAGUAUGCCACAAGGCAGAGGGCCUAACUCUCCCUGACAUGGCAAUCCACUAACCAAUCUCAAAUCACCUGCAAAACCAAAAUUGAAUUAGCUGAAAAUCAUACAACUAAUACUAUUAGUUAUUACACAUUGAACACAUAAAAAAAAAUGAAAAUAAAAAGGAAUCAAACCUCAUUCUUAACUGGAGUGUUAGAAAACCAUGAGAGUAUCAAAAUUAACCAAAACAUUCUAAACAUGCAAGUAACCGGUCUGCUUAGUUAAAGAAAAUGAAAACAAGUAUAGUAAUUUUAGAGUUAAUUUCAAGUAUAUAGGUAUACAAGAAAGUUUCAUAACUGGUGAAGAUACCUAAUUAGAAGUAAGCAUAUCCAAGCACAAUGACGGCAACUAAUAUCGUUCAAUAAAACUGAAGACACGGCGGCAGCAUAGCUGUUUAGAAAUGACAAGACAAUAACGAGCAUAAACUAAAGCAAAGGAAACCACCUUGAAAAGAAGCAUGGCAAUGGAUAACAGCUACAACUAUAGAUGAGCAGAUAAGUUAAAUGAAAGAAAAAGAACCAAAUAAGGAGAGUUUAUCAAUGUUAAAACUGAACAUGUACAGUUCAUAAUACUAUACACUAAACAACAAACAAUGGAGCUUUCUCUCAAGCCUAAAUGAAUUCAAACACAACUUCUACCAGCCAAAAAAAUAUCAGCCAACAGGAUCUCAAAUUCCCGCAACAGUGAAUGUGUUACACGCCCAAAAUAUUUAAGUAAAAUGAGGCCACGUAAGCUAAGGAGUUACUUAAUUAUUAAAGGGCAUUUGUCUGUUAUGCUUAUUUUCAAUUCAGCUGUUACGUAAUUUAUUAUUUGAAAUAAUGAGUCAGUUAUUUUCUAUUAAAUGCUAAUUAAGAGAGUCAGUUAUUUACUAUUUAUUACAAGUCUGUAAAAUGCCUAUAAAAGGCAAGAGUAUUAGAAAUAAAAGAUAUCCUUUGAACUUUUAAUUGUGCCGUGUGCAUCUGUGGAGGUUUUCCUGGCUCCUCAAAUUGCCAGAAUUCAUUUAUAAUUCUUGGGGCCUAACAAGUUGGUAUCAGAGCCGGCGUUCCUGCGACAUGGCUGAGGGAACAAGACUAUCCCAGUUAUCUGAAGCAGUACACAAUUUACAAGGGGCAACCACUGCCCUGAAAGAAGAGCAAUCCAAGCAUGGAAUGCUAAUUGAAGGAGUGCUACAGCAACUCAAUAAUUUGGCAUCAAGCUAUGAUAGCUUGGUACAAAUUACAACUAAAACCAAUUCAGGAGAAGGGACUUCUAACAGUGUCAAAGUAAAUGCUAAUCCUUUGUUUGAUGGACAUGGGGGAAUUCAAGCUCGAUCUCUUCGAUUGGAUUUUCCUCGUUUCGAUGGGGGAGAUCCCAGUGAAUGGAUCUUGAAGGCGCAACAGUUCUUUAAUUACUUUGAGACUCCAGAGAACCACAAGCUGGAAAUUGCUUCUUUUCACAUGGAAGGAAAGGCGCUGACUUGGUAUUAUUGGUUGCAAGAAUCUAGCUCAGUGACCAGAUGGAGUGACUUCUUGGAGGCUCUCCGCACCAGAUUCGGACCUUCAGCAUAUGAGGAUCCAGUAGGAGCAUUCACCAAAUUGAGGCAGACAGGGAGCGUAGAGGAUUACCAAACAAAUUUUGAGAUCCUGUCCAAUAAAAUAAGUGGGGUAAGUGAAGAGUUUCGUAUAAGCACCUUUCUAAGUGGUUUAAAAGAUGAAUUGCGAAUUAUCGUUACCAUGUUCAAACCAAAUACUCUUGCUGCUGCUUUUGGUUUGGCUCGGCUACAAGAAGAGGAAGUGACCAGAAAACAUUUCCCUCACCGAAACACUCCCAACCAAAACAACCUAUAUACACCCUCAUUCAAAGCAACCACUCUCAGACUACCUGGACAAAAUCCUAUACCCAAAUUACUAGCCCCAAACCCAGCACUUAAACUUCCACCCCCCCAACAACCAAGAUAUAACCCACCAUUCCAGAGAAGAAACCCAUAUCCUGUAAGGCGUAUAAGUCCUGACCAAAUGCAAGAAAGAAGGGAAAAAGGUCUGUGUUAUUUUUGUGAUGAAAAGUACCAUCCAGGACACAAAUGCAGCAGACCCAAAUUAUACUUACUUGAGGGAAUGGAAUUCAAAGAGGAGGGAGAAGAAGAAUGGGAAGAUGAAGAGGCAUUUAUUCAACCUGAUAUAGAGAAUAUACCUGCAGUCCAACAAGCUAAUCUACUGGGCAUAUCCUUGCAUGCCAUUGCAGGGGCACCUUCUCCCAAAACUAUGAGAUUAGUUGGGAAAAUUGGGACAUGUUCAGUUAUUGUUCUCAUUGAUACUGGUAGUACACAUAGUUUUAUUGACGUGAAUGUGGCAAAGAGGGCAAAACUACAAAUGGAGAAGGUCAACUGGCAGUCCAAGUAGCUAAUGGGGACACCCUUCCUUGCCAGGGUUGCUGUAAGGCGGUUCUUUUACAGAUGCAAAGCUGUAAAGUUUUAGCCAAUCUGUUCUUAUUGACCCUAGGUGGGUGUGAUGUUGUGUUAGGGGUAGAUUGGUUAAGAAGUUUGGGAACUAUUCAGUGGAACUUUGCUGAUUUGAGUAUGAGUUUCUUUGUGGAUGGAGAGAAAUUAUUUCUGCAAGGCUUAAGGUUACCCAAGGAAGCCAUUAAGGAAGAACAUAGUCUGAGCAAGGUUACCCUUGUAGAAGGGAGAGGAAUAUGGCUGCAAUUUAUGGAGAUCAAUGAUAGUCCAAGAGGAGCACCAGUAGAGCCUACCCUACAAACUGUUUUGAAUGAAUUCAAAAUAGUGUUUGCUGAACCCACUGGACUCCCACCUCCAAGGAGUCACGACCAUCAGAUCCAACUCCAAGAAGCAGCUAAGCCAACAUGUGUUAGGCCUUAUCGAUACCCUUACUAUCAGAAAGAAGAAAUUGAGAAGCUGGUCAGGGAAAUGCUAAAGGCUGGGAUCAUAAAACCAAGUCAAAGUCAAUACUCUUCACCAGUCCUCUUAGUGAGGAAGGCAGAUGGAAGUUGGCGAAUGUGCGUUGAUUAUCGAGCUCUCAACAAAGAUACCAUCAAAGAUAAGUUUCCCAUUCCUAAUAUAGAUGAAUUAUUAGAUGAGCUUAAUGGUGCUGAGAUGUUUUCUAAACUUGACUUGCGGUCGGGCUACCAUCAAAUCAGAAUGAAGACUGAAGAUGUGCCCAAAACUGCCUUUCGUACCCAUGAGGGGCAUUAUGAAUUUUUAGUAAUGCCCUUUGGGCUCACCAAUGCCCCAUCAACCUUUCAAGGAUUGAUGAAUGAGAUAUUCAGACCAUAUCUCAGGAAAUUUGUGCUAGUUUUUUUUGAUGACAUACUUGUGUACAGUAAAUCUGUUGAAGAACAUGUGGGGCAUCUAAGAGCUGUCUUAGAAGUCUUGAGACGACAUCAACUAUAUGCUAAGGCCUCAAAAUGUAUCUUUGGCUGUCGAGAAGUGGAGUACUUGGGCUAUGUUAUUUCCAAAGAAGGAGUCAAAGCAGAUCCAUUAAAGAUUUCAGCCAUGAUGGAGUGGCCUGAACCUAAAAAUCCUAAGGCUCUAAGAGGAUUUUUAGGGUUAACGGGUUAUUACAGGAAGUUUGUAAAAGGCUAUGGAAGUAUUGCAGCUCCUCUAACUGCCUUACUCAAGAAAAAUUCCUUUAAGUGGGGUGAGCAGGCCAGCCAAGCUUUUGCAGCCUUAAAGGCAGCCAUGGUGACUCCUCCUGUUCUUGCUUUACCAGAUUUUUCCAAAAUGUUCGUGGUAGAAUGUGAUGCUUCUGGAAUUGGAUUGGGAGCAGUCUUAAUGCAGGAAGGGAGGCCUCUAGCUUAUUUAAGCCAAGCAUUAAAAGGUAAAAAUUUGUUCUUAUCCACUUAUGAAAAAGAAUUUUUGGCUCUUGUGUUGGCAAUUCAGAAAUGGAGACAUUAUCUGCUGGGACACAUGUUUAAAGUGAGGACUGACCAGCAAGCUCUAAAGCACCUUUUGGAACAAAAGAUUGGAACUCCUUUUCAACAAAAGUGGAUAACAAAGCUAUUAGGCUUUGAUUUUAGUGUGGAAUAUCGUAGUGGGAAAGGAAAUAAAGCAGCGGAUGCUCUAUCCAGGUUACCGGACCAGGUGAAUAGUACAGAACCAGAAGGGGUGAUUACUAAUUGUGGAGAAGCCAAAGCCAUUAGUAUGGUUACUGUUAAUUGGUGGGAAGGGCUCCAUCAAGUAUACAACCAAGAUCCCCAGUUGCAACAGUUACUCAACCAACACCAUCAAGGUGAUCUUGAUCCCCUCAAGUAUCAGGUCAGAGGGGGGUUUUUAUUCUACAAAGGGAGGCUACAUUUGGGAAGCUUAAAGAUACAGCAGGAGCAAAUCAUGCAGCAAUUCCAUAGUAGCCCUAUGGGAGGGCAUACUGGUUCACAGAAGACUCACUCCAGACUUAAAAGGGAAUUCUUUUGGCAUGGCUUGAGAAAGGACAUCAGAAAAUUCAUUAGAGAAUGUGAGGUAUGUCAAAGAAACAAAACAGAGAACCUCAAACCAGCUGGGACUUUGCAGCCUCUGCCAAUACCAAGUAAAGUAUGGGUGGAUAUUAGUAUGGACUUCAUAGAGGGGUUACCAUUGUCUAAGGGAUACAGUGUAAUCAUGGUGAUAGUAGACAGGUUCAGCAAGUACAGUCAUUUCAUACCAAUGGCACAUCCAUAUACAGCAGCAACAGUAGCAAAGGCAUUUAUGGAAAACAUAUUCAAAUUACAUGGUAUACCACAAAGCAUAGUCAGUGAUCGAGAUGCAAUAUUCACAAGUAAUUUUUGGAAAGAAAUCUUCCAUUUAAGUGGAACCAAGCUGCUAAUGAGUUCGGCAUAUCAUCCUCAAACUGACGGGCAGACAGAGGUAAUGAACAAGUGGUUAGAAGGGUACCUCAGGUGCUUUACCAGCGAUAGACCCAAAGAUUGGGCCAGUUGGCUAUCCUAGCCGAGUGGACAUACAAUACUUCAGAGCACUCCUCCACGGGGUUUACUCCUUUUGAGAUUGUUUACGGACAAGAACCACCACGACUCCUUCCAUAUGAGCCUGGGACCACAGCAGUACAAGCAGUUGAAGAUGAAAUGAAAAGUCGAGAUUUUAUCCUUACCCUGGCACGAGAAAACCUGCAAGAAGCUCAAACAAGAAUGAAGUUAUACGCAGAUAAAAAGAGAACAGAGAGGGAAUAUAGUGUGGGGGAUUGGGUCUAUUUGAGGUUAAGACCUUACAGACAGAUGACUGUGGCAGUGAGAAGGAACUUGAAGCUUUCUCCAAGGUAUUUCGGGCCUUUCCAAGUCAUUCAAAAAAUUGGAAAAGUUGCAUACAAGCUCGAUCUACCCAAAGACUCCAAGAUUUAUCCAGUAUUCCAUAUCUCUGUCUCAAGAAGAAGAUUGGAACUCAAUUAAGCCCUAACCCUAAGCUGCCGACAGUAAUGGAAGAAGGUAUAUUGACCCCCGAACCAGAAAAAAUAUUGGAUAGAAGGCUCAAGAAAAAGGGAAAUCGAGCAGGAGUUGAUUUUUUAGUUCAAUGGAAGGGAGCUAACGAGGAAGAUGCCACCUGGAUGGAUGGAGACAAGCUGAGUAAGACAUAUCCUGAACUCGUGGGCGAGUUCUUCUGAAGGAGAAGGUUAUGUUACACGCCCAAAAUAUUUAAGUAAAAUGAGGCCACGUAAGCUAAGGAGUUACUUAAUUAUUAAAGGGCAUUUGUCUGUUAUGCUUAUUUUCAAUUCAGCUGUUACGUAAUUUAUUAUUUGAAACAAUGAGUCAGUUAUUUUCUAUUAAAUGCUAAUUAAGAGAGUCAGUUAUUUACUAUUUAUUACAAGUCUGUAAAAUGCCUAUAAAAGGCAAGAGUAUUAGAAAUAAAAGAUAUCCUUUGAACUUUUAAUUGUGCCGUGUGCAUCUGUGGAGGUUUUCCUGGCUCCUCAAAUUGCCAGAAUUCAUUUAUAAUUCUUGGGGCCUAACAGAAUGUAUCUAAAAGAGAACUCGCAGACAAGAAAAAAAGAAAGCACUGAGCUUGAUCAUGACAAUAUGAACCAAUAAGGCUGAAAAAUAAAACCGAUAAAUCUUUUUCAUUGACAUCAAAUUGGUUAAUCUCAAAAACGUGAAUUUAUCACUACAUUAAGCCAAAACAAACCUUAGUUUUUACUGUUUUUUUAGCCUGGAAAUGAUUAGCCUACCUCCCCCCUCCUGCUGUUCAAUCUAUCAAUAAUAUAUCUCCAGAUAUUUUGUAUAAUUGAGAGAGAGAAAAGUGGAUAUGUAUUGGACAAGACUGGUACGUUUUGCAAGCCAAUUGGAGCUUAAUGCGUGUGUUGUUGCAAUAAAAACUGCACCAACAGUGGAACCGACAAUGACAGGCAAGAUUAUAUCGAAAGGAAGACAAAAAAGCGACGUGUCGUUUAUGUUUGUUAUUUUCCAAGUUAAGGCUUUAGCAUUUUAAAACGGCAGCACAUCGCAAGACAAAGGCCAAGCGUGAAGAAACGAGCAGUAGCGAUAAGGUAAUCGCAGAAAAAACAUAGAGUAAAAGGUAGCAUUUGUUUACUCUACAAGAUGGAAGAAAUAGAAAUAAUAGACAAAAGAAAAAUAAGAUAAAAUUAAUUGUGCUCGGUAAUAAAGUAUUAAAUAAAAUAAUUAUUUUUAUAUCUCAUUUGGUUAUAGUUAUUAUAUAUAUAUAAAAAAAAUUGUUCUUUACAUAUAUUAUUAUUAAACUUAUAUAUUUACAAAAAAAAUGAUAUUAUUUUUUUUUACUUUAGUUUAUAUUGAGUUUUAAAAUUAAUAAUAUUAUAAUAAUUUUAGUUAUAUAACUGAAACUAACUUAAUGGGUUGACUUGAGACUUAGAUUGAUUCAAGUUUAAGAAAAAAUAAAAAAAGAAUUGACUCGACCUGAUUCGGUCAAAAACUUAGGUUAACUCAAGAUAAAACACGAGUCAAAAACUCAUUGAUAUUUUUAAAAAAUAAAUUUAAAUUUUUUUUAAGUCAGUCGAGGUGACCCUCUCGACCCGUAACUUGAAUCUUGUCUCUAGUCGACUUCUAAGUCUAGUUUUAAAACUAUUAUAAUAACCACUUAUAUAUAUACAAUGACUCGGGUUAACUUGUGUUGACUCUCUCGACUUGUAUCAUGGAUCUUACCUUGGAUUUGACCCCUAUAUUAAGUUUUUAAAUUAUAAUAACAAUCAUUAUUAUUUUAUGUUGAUCCAAGUCAAUCUAGGUCGACUCUUCUGGCACGUGACCUAGGCCUUACCCCGUGUCGAUCCUCGAAUCGAGUUUUAAAAUUAUGAUGAUAACCAUUUUGUUCUUAUGUUGACCCAAAUCAAAGUCAAUUCCACUCGUGAUUUCGGCUUUGCUUUAGAUCGACCAUUAAAUUAGGUUUAUAAACUAUGAUAAUAAUUAUUUUUAUUUUUAUGUUGACUCGGGUCAACCUAACAUAUGACUCAGGCCUCGACUAGUGACUCGGACCUUGCUUUGAAGCAACUUUUGAAGAUUGAGAGUUUUUUACAGAGAUAUUUUAGGAACAAAAAUAAUAAAUAUUAUCUUUAAAGAUUGUACAUUUAUAGCUGUUGUUUUGAAAAUACAUAAAUUCAUUUUAAAAUUGCUGGUAAACAAUUUAUUUUUAUGUUUUUGUAUUUUUUUAAAACCAAAUAUAUUUCUGUCUUUACUGUGUCUUCGUCACUUCUAUCUUAGUAGAAUAACCAAACAUUAUCAGAUAACCAAACAUUAUCAGAUAGCCUUAGCUCGGCGACUAGAAGCAAUAUUCGAGUAGCUCUCAGGCAUUGGAGUCCAGAAACUACCGCAUCUAGCUAGGAAACAGCGUCUCUUUCUCAUCCAUAACGAGUUCCAUCUGUUAAACUGCUGGGCCCGAAUCAAAAGACUUUUUUUUUUAAUGGAGCACCCGUAGCAUAUGUCCUCUCAGUUGGAUCGACGACAUAGAAGAGCUAUUGACUGACACUAGCUUCGGUAUUAUCCUGAAAUAGAAAAGAUAAAAAAUAAUAUUUAUUAUAUUUUUAAAACUCAACUCAGUGAUUAUUCGAGGUAUGACCCGGGUCCCGAGUCAUUUUCAGGUUGCUGUGAUCAUCCAAACUUUCGAAGACCAUAGUUUUAUGCUAAUUACUCCGUCUAUCUGCAAUCUGUCUGUCUGUCUGUGUAUUUUACAAUGUCCUUGGUUGCUCUGCUAUCUUUUUUAUCAGUUUUCUAAAACAAACCAUCUGUGUGUCUUCGUUUCUUUUCGUCUGCAAACCCUACCCUUCGAUUAUUACUCUGUUAAUGUUAACUCCUACCACUACUGUUUUGUUCUUGCCGGUCUUCUUCAAGGGGAGAAUUGAGUACUGUGCUGCUAAUUUUCAUUCCUCGAAUAAAUAUCGUCGCCCGCCUGUGUCUUUUGCAAUCUUUUUGAACAUAUAUUCAUUGUUUGGGUGGCAAGGCAUCUGAUCAUCUGCUCUCCCUGUCUGUGAAUAUGAUGAAAUCUUUGACAUUUAAUUUAUGGAUUGAAUGAAAGAGAAAUAGUUCAGAUGGACUUGAAAUUAUAUAUGGGCUGGAUCUCUUGAAGCAAGCGUGCUUUGAGAAUAGAUCCUGCAUUUUUUCCUUGUACAAUUCGAGGUUUGAAUAAGGGCUGUUGGAUUAUGCAUCCUCCAGACACCAGACAGAGGUCCUGGACUACACGCCAUGGAUAUAUUUCUUCAUGAUCAUGCGUGUGUAGGGGAAGCAUUGCGUCACAGCUACUUGCAAGGGCAUCUGGAAAAAGAAAGCUAGAAGCAAAGAUCUAAGCGUUGCUUUCUUUAGUUAUAAACCAAUUUUCUCUCCAUUUUCUAUUAUUGAUUUGAAUUAAUAAAAAAAUUAAAAAGAUUCAUUAAUUAAUUUAAUGUUUUUUAAAAUAAAACAUAUAUUUAAAAACAAAAGCUACCACACGCCGUUACUUUACGAAAAGCUCUAUGGUAGGGUUUCCGGAAGCUUUCGUAUGCAAUUACAUCAUACUGAAUCUUCCAUGAUGUUGGACUCCAUCGAUCUGGAGAAAUCUCCAUGGAAUCAGAUGCAGAUUUCUAGUCGUAAUCAUACUCUCGACAACAUUAGCACUCAAGGCAUGCAGCUGGGUAAGCGUGAUGGAAAGUGGUAGAUAUUGGCCAGGAAUCUUUCAUUUGGUCUUGUUUAUGGAAAGAUGAGACUACACCGACGAGCCAGUGGAUGCAUGAUUUCUAGCAGUGCCUGUCAUUUUCUUCGAAAUGCAAUGCUCUUCCACUCAGCUGUCACUGCAAAUCAAAUGCAUUCCUAUAAAGAGGUCCACUCUGUAUUGUUUUUCACACCCAUAAAAGCACAGCUUUUUUAUUUUUUUGAGGCUCUUUUCCUUGCACAUCAAGAAACUUCAGUCGCUUUAUGUCACGCGAACAAUUUGCAGCCCUCUGUGCUGGAUUUUAUGCACCUAAUUUGAUUCUUGCUGUGUGAUUAUUAAUUUUUCAUUUUUUUUUUAUUUUCCAAUGCAUUAUUGUGAAGUGUGAGCCCAUCUCCAUCAACCAUGUUGAUUAGUAGUGUGAAAGAACAGAUGAUUGAAGGUUGGCUCUAGGUCGCCCAAGCUAAUUUCUGUGUAGUUUUCACUUCUUGCAAGGUCAAGUUGCACCAUCAUUUUGCCUUUUCAAGAAUAUUAUUUUGUUUUUAUUGUUCUAUAAUUACUUUUUUUUUUAUAACAUGAAUAUCCGGGCCAGUUUGCGCAUACCUCGACUAAUCCCACGGGCUCUGAAGUUAACAACCAUCUAAGUUUCCAGAGUGAUCAUCAUAUUAGUAAUCACAUGACUCGAACUUAAGACCACGGGGAGAGCAAGACCUUUGCUCCCAAGCUCUUGUUACUGGGCCACCUACUAGAUGGUUGUUCUACAAUUAUUUAAUACAUCUAGUUGUGCCGCAAACUCACAUUAAACAAUGAAAGUGAUGACUUUUUUUAAUUUUAUUUUUUAAUAUUUACAAAUAAUUUAAAAUUUAUUUUUGUAAAUUAUUAGUUUACUUUUUAUAAAGUUAUCUUAGUAUUAAACAAUUAUCAUUCUAUUUAAUUGAUACUUAAUUUUACAAGCAUUUAUAUUUGUUAUUUUAUAACUAAGAAAAAAAUCAUUUUAAAAAACAAAGUUUUUUUUAACAUAAUAGAGUCCAUAACCUAGAUUGUGAAUUUAACAGAUUGAAUCGUGAAGUUUAGAUCAAUCUAAUAUGUAACUGUCUUAAUUUUAUUUUUUUAAAUCAUGUUAAAUUUUUCUUUAAGUCAAACCAUGUUUUUUACCAAUCAUCUAGAUUGUUUUAAGACCUGUUAAGUUGACUAGUUUAUAUUAGAUUAAUUUUUAUAUAGUUUAGUUUCAAACUCAAAUUAUAUAAAAAAUCAAACAAAAAAAUUUAAAAUUAACUAAUUAAACCGAGUUUAAUAACAAAUAAUAAUUGUUUUUGUAUGUUCUGAAUAUUUAUUUUACGUCGAAGGAAUCCUGACUCGAGAGCAUGAUGGUGUAAACUAGCCUCUGAGAUGUGGCAAUUUCCAUAGAGAAGAACUGCUUGAUGAAAUUAUUAUGCCACAUUAAACCUCACAUACCUAAUUUUAAGCCUAAUUCAUCUUGUUUGGUUACAUCAAAGCUGGCUUCCCUUUUUCCAGAAAUUUCUUGCGGACUGAGAAAUUGAGUAUGGAUUGCAUUUUGGAUCUUUUUCCCACAUCAUCUAGUCUUCAGAUACAAUUCUUAUCCUUUUGACCUAACACAAAAAUUAAUUAAAGGGUUUGAUCUCCCCAUCACUACACCAUCAACUCUUGCCCAUUAUUUUAGGACAAAAUAUGGAACCUAAUAAACACCAAGGAAAAGAUGGAUGCUACAAGGAUUUGUUACCACACAUAAAACUGGAAAACCUCAUCAUCUAGGGUUCAAGAUCAUUAAAAUAAGUUGAAUAGCAACUACUCCUAGCUGGACUUUAAUGGCAGCCAUCCAUAUCAUGGAAACAAUGUCAUUUUCUAAUGGCCGUGUUUUAAGAUUCUGUCUUGGUAAUUUCGACAGUGUAAACGGCUCAGAUUGGUGCAGAGGCAAGUUGAUACUCAUUUGCUCAUUACCUAGCAUGUGAAUUUGAAUGCUUGCAGCAAGGCAAAGAACCAUUCAAGUCUCUUUCAAGCUUUGAUGUACAAGAACUUUGCUGAGCUCAUGAAAGCUCUAUUUGAUUACAGUUUGCUUUCACAGUUUACAUCCAAAUCAACAUGCUUGUCCCUUUGAGGGUAAGAGAAGAAUCAAAGAAGAAUGACUUCAACUUUUCAGGUUGUAGUGAAGCAGCAGGGAAGAUCUAAUUAAAUCUGUCGCAGGACAUUACCAUUCGAUAAUUCUAUGAACAGUUUUCUUUUUGUAAUACAGCAUGAAUUACUUUGUAUUAACGAGUAAUUUGCUUUUGAUUACAUAUUUACAUUACAUCUAAAUUUUAUUUUUAACUUUCUUUAUUUGUAGAGAUUGUUGUCAGCUUGUCAUUGAAAGCUUUGAACUUCACUUCAAAAUAUAGCAGCUUUAAGCCUUCUCUUCAACUCCUUCCUGCAGAAAAAACAAAAAUGAAUUGACUCUUGGGACCUUUUUCCAAAACCCUCCUCUGGUUUUAGAUUCUUGAGUCUGUGUUAAAGUUGGUUUACCUCGUGAGUUCCCUAUCAAUGCUUGAAGCAGAUAACAGUCCCCUAUUCUCUUCAGCCCUCCUUAGAAGGUAAGGGAUAACCAUCUCAACAGGCCCGUAUGGCGUGCAUUUGCUAACUAGAAAACCUGCAUUGCGUAGACCAAAUGAAAGCGCAUCUGACAUUCCAUAUAGCUGUGCAAACUCAAGCUUCUGGUUCCUCUUCUCAAUCCCCAAGUCUAUUGCCUUCGUCGCUGCCAAUCUUCCUAUACAAUGUACAUAGAACCCUGUAUCAAAUCCAAAGGCUAUUACGAUAGCUAUAAUUAAUCACAUAUGAGUCUCCUUCAUCUCUUUACCUGAUUCAACAUUAUGUGUUGCAAGGAUGACUGCAUUUGAGCUAUUAGCGAUCUUUUCAAGCAUGAAAGAAGCACAAUCAUUGUAGGAAGCAUGUGUCUCUUGAAUACUAUUGUGAAUUGGAGAUUCAUAGCCUAACGAAGAGGCUAUUUUUCUUUCACUUGACAUAUAAGCGCCCCUCACUAACUUAAUCCCCAUAGGAACUCCCAUCUUGUCAGCGGCUUUUGUUGCAAGGAACAACCUCUCUUUUGCGUCUUUCAAGUAGGCUUGAAUUGUACCAUACACAAUGGGAUUAUCAUUUUUGUUGUACUUGAUUGCUGUCAAAUACGUCAAGUAAUCAAUGGCAGGUUGAACUGAUAUAUGCUCUGCAUUCACCGUCAACGGGAUAUUGGCCUGGACACAUUUUUCACACAGUUUCCACAAUCUCUCCUGGCCUAAUUGGAGAUCAUUCUCUUCUUGUGGGGUUAAUGGUUCUGGUUUUUUAAGUGUAUGAUACAAAGGGCUAGAAUCAGAAAAAAUUGGAAAACAUUUCUGUUUCCAUGGAAGGUUGAAGGAAGGAUCUCUUUGUUGCCACCUUAACACAUCACUAACUCUCUCUAACAAGCUUAAGGGGCACAUUGCUGUGAUCUUUGCCACCACACUGCUCACCUGAUGCAAGUAAAAAAAAAAAUUAGCCUACAAUAUUUGAGCUGGUUUCUUUCUGCCAAUAUCAAAGAAAGACAAAACAAACUUGAUAAGAUCCGCGAAAGCUUGCCCGAGGACACCCCGCCCCUAAAACCAAAAGAAAGAAGUGUUCUUGUAGCCAGUGUGUUCAAUUUCUGAUGGGAUACCUCAACCAUGAAAAGGACAGUCCUUGUUUCUCAUUCUGUCACUUUCUAUGAUGCAUAUAUUGCAAACUCUUAUGGUCAAUGGUGUACAAUAUGACCAGGUGGAGUCCAAUUGCACACGACUGCUUGCACAUGAUCAACUUGAUCAACGAUUCUACUCGCAUCCUAAGCUGUAAAACUAACAUAUACAGCAGGAUCCAUAUCUAAUUUCUAAAGCAAAUUUCAAGAGAAACAAAACAGAGACCCGAGAUACUUGAAAACAAAUGAAAGAAAGAGCAAAAUUAACUUGAUAGACAAAAUAAAAAUAAAAAUGGGGCUAAUUAUGGCUAAUUGAGGAAGAUGUAAAUCUUACAGAAGAUGGAGGAAGAGACAUGGCAGAUUGAACAGAAUCAAGAAACCCUUUCAGAUUCUGAUCACAAGCAUCAUUAUUACUUGUAUAUUCAACAGCAAAAGCCAACAUUACUCUCAAACCGGCUUCAUUAACUCUCUCAACACACCUUCUGGCCUCAACAACAUCUUCUCCAGCACAAAAGUGUUUAAAGAACGUAUGCCUUACCGUCUUUAACACAACAUCACGUACAAUAUUAUCUGUCUCCAUAAUCCUAGAAUUCAUAACCCACAUCCCAAAGUCAACCAGAGGACCUAUAGAAACCAAGUGAAGAUUUGAAGAUGCAUGCAAGAGUUUGGUGGUUGGCAAAUUUGAGAAAAGUUUUCGAUCGUCAUUAAAAUCUAGGAUGGAUGGUUUUGCAUGAUCUUGAAUGAUAGUGGGAGGUUCUUGGAUAGGGGGUUCGGGUUUUUCAGCCAAAUUUAGAGGAGAGACGGCGGCGGAGGCUUUAGAGGAGGAGGAGGAGGUGUUAAGAGACCUUGUGAUGAAGAAACGGAGGUUUUGGAGUUGUUUUGGUGGGAGAACUUUGGUGGCCAUGGAAGGUGGAAGAGAUUCAGGCUUUCUGUUUUCCAAGUCUUGGGAUACGGAGGUUUAUAUAGGAAUUGUAUUUUUACUGCAAUUUAUGACUUUAUAAAAAAGGUGAAAAUUGAUUUAAAAAAUAAAUAUUUCCAGUUUUUUGUUUCAACAAAUAUUUUUACUGCAAGAGUCAUAUUGGUAGAUCUAUAAUCUUAAGUUUUACAGAUAUUAUUUUUUAAAUUAAGAAAUAAUUUGAUUUUAUUAUGUUGUGUUGGAUAUUAGAUUUAUUUAUUAGUAUUUCUUCCUUGAUUUGAUUAUUUUGAGUGCCAUCAUUUUUGUUUUCUUUUUACUAUAUUAUUUAAAGUUAACCAAAAUAGAUCAAUUUUUUUAAUUUUAUAAAAAAAUAAUAUUAUUUAAAAAACACAAAGAAAAAUAACUAGUUAUUUUUCAAAAUCACCUUCUUUUUUUGUGUGUUUUAUUUGUUAUUUUUUUAAAAUUAAAUUUUGUAUUUUUUUAUUAAGUUAUCUCGCUAAUAUGAUUUCAUUCUCAAGUUUAGACGAUCUUGUCUAAAUUUGUUAAUAUAUAUUUUUUAAAUUUAUUUUUGUUUAGUUUUAUUUUUUUAAAUUUAUUCUUUUAUAAAAAUUGAUAAUCAUUUUUUUUUAAUCCAAUAAUAUUAAAUCAUAUUUUUAAAAAUAUAUAUAUAUAUAUUAAUAACGCUUCAACAUCACUUUAAUUUUAUAAAAAAAUUCAAUCAAACCCGUGAUGAAUAGAAGGCCACCCAUCUCGUGCUCGUCUAUAGAUCCAUAGACGGGACAAAAAUAUUGGCGAACUAUAAAAGGUAAAGGCAGGGAUUAGAUAUACUUAUUCGUAAUUUCCGAUCCUCUUGGACGUGUCUUGUUUCGGUAUAUUUGGAAUUAUGGUUAAUUGUUUAAAGUAUUUUUUAUUUUAAAAUUAUUUUAUUUUUAAAAAAUUAUUUUAACAUUAAAACGAUUUAAAAAUAUAUAAAAAAUAAAUUUUAUUUUAAAUAAAAAAAUUUAAAAUUUUUAAAAAGUGUUCCAAACACACCGUAAUACUAACAAGGCCAUGAUGUGUAUGCUCAUAGUCUACCAAAAUAAUAAUAAUACUAAUAAUAAAUGGUGUAAUUUAAUUGGUCAAGUCCUGAGUUUG
rnacentral:lncRNA from 1 species